UUUUUUUUUUUUUUUUUUUGUCGACAGGGGUGUCCGGAUCAAUUUUUACAGGGUCCGACUAAUCCCUUGCGAUCUAGAUCCGGCGCCCCAAUCCGAUUCUAACACGUUGAGUGCGCGGAGGAAUCCGUAAACCCUUCUUGAGUUGAAGUUUCAAAAUUUGCCCUGUGAUAAUUACUUAAAAAGCAAUAGUGAUUUUGUAACCAGACACGAUUACAGAACAUAUAGAUGGUACGUGAAGGCACAGUCUAGACUCUAGGGGCGAGAGUGAACGUACACUAGUACGCAAGUCACAAGUUUAUAGGACUUUGCGAAUUAUUGUUGACUUACAUAUCUAGCGAACUUUAUUAAUCCAUCAAUUUGCUCUGGUCUGAUAACGAAUGAAAAAACCGCAAUUUGUUUUCCUAAGUUCUUUUAGAUGGCAUGGAAUAAAAUUUUUUUUCAGAAAUAGCUCAAAUGGCUUGAUAUCUUCAUUAUUUUGGAUUAUGUAUUAGAUUAAUUGGAAUGAGCCACCGAGAAGACUGUUAAUACCGGAACAUGAUGGGAUCCUAACAUGGCAAAGCUGCGGAGUUUAUAGUAAACAAGAUGGGUAAAAAGUUUUUAUUUUUAUUUUGGUAAAAAGUUUAUUAAUACUGACCCAGAAGAAAAUAACAUACAAGUGUAAGUUUCUUGGUUGAUUGAACAACGUCUCCGAACUACAAAAAAAAAAAAAAAAAAAAGAGUACAUUAAACUAAUUCCACCAGUAAAUUGCAACGUCCCCCUAGAUAGCAUACUCAAAAGAACUGACGGGUCUGGCAGUGAAUGUGAAGGGCAUCUUCUUUCUCACAGAUCAUUAAUGUCAAGUUUAAUUCUCUGAGGUAAACUGACGGUCUGAUCUAGUAUGCGCAUGCUAAUUACCGCCAAAUUUCAGGAAAUUGAACACGGUUGCUUGUGGGAAUCCUAUCCUCCUGGACAUUCUUGGAUUGAUUGAUUCUAAGAUUGGCAAUGGGAUGGGUGGCCGCGAUCACCCGCCCCACAGGGGGCUAAUGGGGCAGGGUUAGGGCGGGUGCGGGGGUAGUAAAUAUAUAAAAAAUAUAUAUGUAUGUACAUAAUUAUAUAUAUAAUAUAUAAUUUAAUUAGUUACAAACUUAUAGUAAUGAUAUUAUUAGUUAUAUGUAUUAUAUAAUGUAUAUUAGUAUAUGUAAUAUAAUUGAUAUUAUCAAUUAUACUAAUAAUUAUAUAUAUGUACUAAUACAAAUUAUUAAUUGGUUAUAUUAAAUUUACUAAUACAUUUAUACUAAAUCCAUAAUCACACUUAAUACAAUAAUAUUUUUUCUCAAAAAAAAAGUACAAGUACAAUAAUGAAUUAGUGAUUGUAUUUGUGUCAAAAGUGAAAACUUGACUACUUUAGUUGUAUUUAUUUCAUUAUAUUGGAUUGUAUUCAAAUAACUUUUGUUUGAUUGUUUUUAUAAGUUUCAAUUGUAAAAUUACAAUGAAUAAUAAUUUGGUGAUGUGUUGAUAUUUUAGUACUUGAUUAUUUGAUAAAAAUUUAACUAUAAUAAAAUUAUAUAACAAAUUUUUAUUAGUCCCACGGGGCACCCGCUGAGGAACGGGGCGGGGGCGGGGUUGGGCCAUCCUUAUUUUUUUUUCCAAACGAUAACAUUGUAUUAAGUAUCAAAGAUACAAAGUUAGAGCAACUGCUCCUGUACAUCUGCUCGAGCUAACUCCAGCAGCCAUGCUGGGAAGCUUUGCUUCCAUUCAGCUGAAUCAAACAAAUUUAUAGCAAAUUUUGCUAAUUUGUGACUUACAGAGUUGUUACCCCUUUUAGUGUGGGAGAAACAACAUUUGUCAAAAUCUUGUAUCAAGCUCCAGAUAUCCAUCUGGAUGGUGGCUAUACUUGCUCCCUCCUCCCUAGCUUUAAUUUUGUCCACUACCAGCUUGCAAUCCGAUUCUAACUCUACCUUCCUCCAUCCCAUCUACUUAGCAAUUACCAUUGCUUCUCGUAGAGCCAAAGCUUCCUCCACCUGAGCCUCUGCACAGCCUUCAGUUGGCCUCGCCCAUGCCCCUUCCAGUUCCCCUGAUCCAUUUCUUGCCACUAUACCCUACCCUGCUUUGUUAUGUUUUUGGUUUAAGGCUGCAUCAGUGUUGAUUUUGAUCCAGUCCUCUUGAGGUCUUUCCCAUCCCCUAUCCCUCUCCUGCUCUCCACUUGUCACGGUCUCAUAUCUUGACCCCCUCCCUUGUGCCAGGUGAUGCUCAUUCCAAUCCAUCAGUGCUCUGUUGACCACCACAAUAGGCUCAUAACUCCUAUUGUUGAACUGCCUAUCAUUCCUAGCUUUCCAUAUCUGCCACAAGAGGUUUACCGUGAGAGUUAUGUGCUCCCUCCCUUUUUCCCGAACCACAACUCCUCUAAGUUCUUCCCACCAAUGCCAAAAACUAUUCCUAAACACUUCCAGCCCAUCCCACUUUAAUGGUGCCACCUCCCAGAUUGCUGUAGCAUUACUACACGGAAAAAACAGGUGCUCUAAUGUCUCAGAACUAUUUCCACAGCACUUGCACAUAUGGUCCCCCUUGCCACACUUCCCCUUCACUACUGUGUUAGUUGGCAGGAUUCCUUGUAAGUAUUUCCAGAUGAAGUGUUUAAGCUUGUUUGGCAUAUUCAAUCCCCACAGGAAGCUCCAACUUUGAGAUUUAAUCCUCCUGCUAAUGCUUGGCUCUGGAGCUCCUCUAGUCUGACACUGUCCUUUCUUCAUUUCCUUUAUCAGCUUAUAGCCAGUUUUAACAGUAUACACACCUGAGUUGGAUUUCGCCCAAUAGAUCCUAUCUUUGACCCUUCCCAAGCUCAGUGGGAUCUUUAAUAUCUGCCAUCUGCCUUCCUCCUCAAAUUCCCGCAUCACCACCUCUUUAUUCCAUUUUCCAUUCUUGAUCAGCUCACUCACCUUUUGAAACUUACUGUCAUCUUUUUCCUGGGACCUUACUUUCUCAUUUUCUACCCCUGGCAGCCAUCUGUCUUCCCAAAUAUGAAUUGAUUUACCAUCCCUCACCCUCCACCUUAAUCCUUCGGCUAGUAUUCCUUUUGCACUUAACAGACUCUUCCAGCACCAUGAAUCUGAACCUCUUUGUUGUACCUCCCAUAUGGACUUCCCAGCAAAGUACUUGGCUUUCAUUACUCUACUCAUCAGCAAAUUUGGUUGCAUCAGGAUUCUCCACAAUUGCUUCCCUAAUAGUGCUAAGUUAAAAUCCUGUAGAUUCCUAAAUCCCAAACCACCUUCAGCUUUAAUAUCAGUCAUUCUAUCCCAUUUAAUCCAGUGAAGUUUCCUUUCAUUCUCCUUCUGUCCCCACCAAAACUUUGCCAUCUUUGAACACACAUUCUUACACAAUGUCCUUGGCAGCCUACAACAAGACAUCUGGAAGAGCUAGAAUAACUGAUUUCAAAAGGAUCUUCUUUCCUGCCUGGCUCAGGAGUUUUUCCUUCCAACCACCAAGUUUUUUAACUGUUUUCUGCCUAAUAAACUCAAAAACCUGUCUCUUUGAUCUUCCUAUGACCAUAGGAAGUCCUAAGUAUUUGCUUUGAUUAACCUCUUUCAUACCUUCCAGCUCCUUAAGCACUUCUACCCUUUUCCUUCCUUUGACAUUUUUACUGAAAAAGAUAGAGGACUUAUCCUUGUUUAUCAACUGGCCUGAAGCUCUUCCAUAGUCUUCCAAAACCUUCAUCAGCUGCACUGCCUCUCCCCCUUGGCUCUGCAGAAGAUUAGAGAAUCAUCUGCAAAAAAGAGGUGCGACAAACUAGGAGCUUCUUUAGCAAUCUUCAUUCCAUGCAUACUACCCUGCCUAUUAGCUCUCCUUAGUAGAGCAGAAAAACCUUCUGCACAAACCAGAAACAAGUAAGGGGAUAAAGGGUCCCCUUGUCUUAAGUCUCUAGUAGGCUUAAUGUACCCCCUUUUCUCCCCAUUAAUAUUGAUAGCAUAAGUAACACUAGUAAUGCAUCCUAGAAUCCACUGGAUCCAAAUUGGACAGAACCCCGUCUUUUGCAUCAUUUUUGCCAAAAACACCCAUUCUACCUUAUCAUAAGCCUUAGACAUAUCAACCUUAAUAGCCAUAUAACCAUCAUUUCCAGAUCUUUUAUUAUUUAGAAAGUGAAUGCUCUCAUGUGCAAUAAACACAUUGUCCAAAAUCUGCCUACUAGGCACAAAAGCAGACUGAGAUGAACUAAUACAACAGUCCAACACAGUUUUAAAUCUGUUGACUAAGACCUUGGAAAUGAUCUUAUAAAUGACAUUACACAGACUUAUAGGUCUAAACUCUGUGAUCAGGUUUGGGGAUUCAGUUUUAGGAAUUAGACUGAUCAGGGUCUCAUUUAUGGACUUCAGCAUAUGACCAGAGUGAAAAAAACUUUGAACAGCACUGAUAACAUCACUUUUAAUGACAUGCCAAAACUUUUGAAAAAAGAUAGGGGACAUACCAUCUGGUCCAGGAGACUUGUUUGGAUGCAUGGAAUUGACUGCCUGACUGAUUUCUUUAUCUGAAACUGGCCUUGUCAACUUUCUGUUCAUUUCAGCAUGGGCGCGUCCUUUAUCUGUUGGGCCAUCCUUAUUUGAUUCCUGUUUUUGUAUCUGCAUGGGCGCGUAACCACGCAAUUAGUGGAUCACUACUAUAGGUAAUCCUUAUGUUUUAAACUAAUAUUCAAGCAGUGUUUGGUAAUGGAAUUAGACUGGUUGGUUAAUUUUGGUUCAAAAUUUUAGAGGAUAGAGAAAUUUGUGUUAAAUCAAACUAAGUUGAAUUAUUAAAAAAUUAAAGUGCAAAUAAUAACAAGACACUUGACAUAAUACUAUAGGUAGCAUUGAAUACUUGUAACCGAGGAUCCCAAGUGCGUAACCAUGCAAUUAGUGGAUCACUACUAUAGGUAAUCCUUAUGUUUUAAACUAAUAUUCAAGCAACCGGAGUCACAUCAGCGUCUAAUGCCCAUAAAGCCGAAUUGGUUGAGUUGUAUUGUUUAUAAUAAUCAGGUUGGUGACAUCUGGGAUACUGUGUUCUUGGUUCCACCUUUUGGGAAAGUAUUCUUAUUUUUUUCAUCUGCAGUUCUGCACACAGGAUUCCUCUCAAGUUCCCUUUUAACUGAAUGCUUUUCUUGUUAUGAAGAUUUCUUUGACUCGAAUACUCACUUUAAAAUUCUGAUGAAAAGUAUACUAGAAACCUCACCGGAAUGUUCUUAUGCGGUGUUUCUUUUAUUUCAAACUAUUUCACAUAGGCUGCUUAAACUUGUAAAAAAGAUUCCUUUAAAAUCCAAAAACUAUGUCAAAAGGGGCCUGAAAGCCCGAAUACAGACUGCAGAACAACUUUUAUGACGAAAUGAUUUUUUUUUCUUCCCUUUUUAGCGUGGAAACAUUUUUCAUUUUUCCAAAACUUGUUUCAUUCUUUAAUCCCCUUGAGUGAAUUUAAAGAAAACAGGGAUAGACCCUCUAUUUGAAUUGAUGACAGACAAAAGACACUACUGUCUAAUCUGUACAUAAACCUAGCUUGCUAAAUGGUUAACGGGGAAGAAGUCUUCCGCUUUCUCAGUUUACAAUAAUAUUUUGGUGCAAACUUGGACCAACCCGUAACAGCACCGUUGAUUGAGUGCUAUGAAUUAUGAUAGCAUUAUGAAGUUGAUGAGUAUUGAUCAAACUAAGGCCAGCCAAGUAAGCAACUUCAUAUAAGUAAUUAUUGCCACUUAUUCUCGUCUCUCUCUCUCUCUCUCUCGAGUACUUGCAUUGCAUGUGCAAUUGUGCAUGCUUUUACAGCAUACAGUGACACAUUUGUUUUCUUCCAACUGAACUCCAAAACAGAAGCAAAGAAGCAAGGAAAGGAACUAGUCGUUCUUAUUUUAACUGACAAAAAACUAGUACGUAGCAGAAAACAACAAAGAAAUUCUAGCGGUACGUGGUAGAAAACAUCAAAGAAAUUCCUAUUAUUUGUUGUGAAUAGGAGGAGAGUCACGGUGUUGUCGCUGGUAGUCGUCCGUCUUUAUAAUGUCAUGGGAACCGAUGGCCUCCAAUGUCAUGUCUUGCUCAGCUGCUGACCCUCUUGAAACCUGCAUAAACACUACAUUUUACAUAUCAUAUGUGCUAUUUUUGCUUUAGACUAGUAGGGUCUUAUUUUUCUCUUACUUUUGAGUUUCACUUUUCUAGUUUAUUACUGUUGCGUGAAUGGAUAUACAUGUGUAGGUAGAGAAUCAUCUGAUUUGCUUUUUCUGAAUUUGUUGAAUAAAACAGGUUUUUUGUUGCAACUUUUUAGCUUAAAGAUACGAGUAUUGUUCAAGGUUCUCCAUCCACUCAUUCCUGUUACAUCCUUUGAUGAUGGAAAAAGUAGUUCGGCCAAAUUUUGGCGGGGAGGAUCUGUUUAAAACAUACUAGAAAUUACCUGUUUUUUAUAUUGUGAAGAAGCAUUAAGUGACAGUAAAAGCACCUCUAAUCUAUCCCGAAAACAUUUACUCGUAAAUAUAUAAUUAUCUUCAUGAAACCUUGCCAAAAUGUAAAUGCUUGUAAAGGGGUUUGUACUUUCAUGUCUUAAUCCUGGGAUUGGAAUUGUGUGCAUUAAAAAAUUGUCAUGAUCAUCUCAGACAUGAUAACAUUUACGAAUCAAAAUUCACAAUAAAAAACCCUCUAAUCAAAUUUGAAGACCAGUACUUUUCAGCUUAAGUACCUCUGUUUUUGUUGCCUCGAGGAAAUUCAUGCGAGAAGAAGACUCAACAACCUUUCUUCCUGCGUGACAUACUCCAUUAAUAUAAUGAAUAGUAAUGGUAGUGGUGCAGAUUACCGCAAUUCUCAAAAGAAGAUCAAUAUUUAGUCAAAACGAAUCAAUAAAAUACAAAACAUUAAUAGAUUGAUAAGUGCAAGGUGAAAUUUCUUAUUUGUACUGCCUUUAGACUACUACUCCAAUCAAACUCGAAACAAAAGCAAUAAUAUGGGUAAAUUGUGACGGCCUGGAGGAAACAAAGGCUAAUGUAAAUGAUCAAUUAUGGGAGGGAGGGCGAGUGCGCGGUUGGGAAUAAUCGGAGUAAAAGAAUCCAGGAUGUUUGUCGUGGUUAAUCUUGUGCCCAGAAGAAUCAUAAACCGAUCGUAAAAUGUUGGAGUGACACCUGAUUUCCAUCUUGGAUCCUCAUCUUUUUCCUUCACGGCCUUUGAACCAAAUAUUGGAUCAAAGCGGUCUGGGAUGCUACCAGACGGCAUGCUAUGUUGGCGUCCAAUUGCAUUUGCUUCUUGUUCAAAAGAAUCCUUCCUGAGCUCGAUUUUCUCUCCAAUUUUCACCUUGGGAGCAGUAAUAAUAAUGAUGAUAAAUCCUACUACUACUACUAACUAACUUAUCUAUUGCAUCGUUAAACUUCCACCAUAAACACGGUUGAAACUAAGAAGUAUGUCGAGUGCAAACCUUGCAAUCAAGAAAUUCCUUGAGAGAACCAGCAUUGGUGAUGACCCUGAAGCUGCGAGCAUUAGAUUUACGCGCAUGCAUGGGGAAAAACAAGAAAAGGAUGAAAAAAGAAAGUGAAGUGCUCCUAGAUAAGAAGAAAAACGAGGGUAGAGAUGCCAUAUGGGAGAGUAACUGGUGAUUAAGAGUUGGAUGUAAUUUAGAGAUUCUAUUUGGUCUUGGGCGCAAUGAGUUUUUGCCAGGAAGAAUGCGAUGAACGAGAAGAGAGAAAGCAUUCUACAGAUAUGUUCAGGUAAUAAACAGUGGAAGAGUUUAUUGGAAAAAGAGGCUUGAGUCAUUUGAUCACCAUGGCAUAAAUCCCACUGCAUCCUGACUAAUGUAACCAAUGAAAUGGUCUUUGAUCGAUCGUACUACUUGGGAUGUUAAUUAUCCCCUACAGCACAAGUUACCACAAAGAGUGUGGCGGCAUCUCUCCGGUCUGUCUUUGAAUUGUGAAAAUUUGAUAGAAAUCAAUAAAACAUACACGGAUUAGAUUCAUUGCAAUUGCGAAUGCAAAUUAAUUGAGAGACCGAUGCAGUUUGAUGUAUCGAUCUGAGCCAUAAAUUGGUAACACAUGCCUCGUGCAAUCAAACAAAUUGUGUUCAAUCAAUCAUUCUGUAUGACAGUCUUCAUUUUCCAGUUUCCACAAAAAUGGGUGUCACGGUGGUGUUCGAGUCCUCUCAUGAAGUACCCGAGUUGGGCAAAUCCCUUUCCUGCUCAGUGCAUUCUGGAAGGGUCAAGGGGCCCAAGGGCCUUUGUUCGCUAACACCCUUUAAUGCGAUCCAUCGAUGCAAGCUGUGUUUUUUUUUGUUUUAUGGUCACUCAACGUCCAUCCUUACCACAGCAAAAUCACCACCGGAUUCAUUCAUAUACUCUGCCUUUGCUGUUUGUUAUAGCAUAACAAGGAUUAUAAAUAAGACUCAAACUUAGACACAUAAGGUGAUAAUUGAGAUCAUUAUUUCAUCGGCUUUCGCAAUCGAAAAAUAAUAUACAGCAAGACUGCCAAGCCUAUUGAAAUCAGAAAUAAAAGAAUUCCGUACCCCAAUUGACGCUGCCUCUAGAAAUGGUGUAGGGAACUAGAGACACCAUCCAACUACGUGCUUGCAUUUAGUAUAUUAUCUAUGCUUUGAACCCUUCUUAGACAAAACAGUGGUGCUUUUUUUGUUACUCUUAUUACUAGACAAAAAAAGGACUAGGAGAAUGGAUAGACAAACUCCAAAAGUCACACAGGCUCGCCAAUCCAGCAAAUAAGUAACGAGAGGUCGAAGAAGAAGAUUUGCCAACACGGGGACAAGUUUGCUAAAACCCAGAGAACGGAGAGUAAAAACUGGCGACUGGCUUUAGUUGGUCCAAUGGGUCAGCUAAUUCCUUGCACGAAAUCUAAGCACUACAGGCCCCGUGUGUGUCUUCUGGAUCCAAUUUUCCCUAGACAUUACAACCAGAAUGAGGCCAUAAGCUCCAUUCCUUGCACGAAAUCAAGCCUUGCGGUUUUCCCUAACAAAUGGCUGCAAAUUUAGACUACUCUCGAGGGGGGCAGUGCUGACAACAUGUUAAACAUCUGAAAUGUAUACGUGCGCGUCUUCAUCCCCUUGGAUAUACAAAUACAAGCAGCAGAGACGGAAAACGAGAUAGUAAAACCAAGAAGCCUACUUAGUUUCAAAACGCACGUUGACAUAAAAAGAAAUUAGAUUAUUACAAAAUUACAACAACAUAUGCGGGAGGCCAAACCAACGGAUUGAGCGGGUACAGUCAAACCAAUUACUAUUUAUUCCUAGAAGCAAACUGAUAGGCUAUAUUUAUGUACAGGAAGACAAGCUUGUGGACGUUAGACAGCACAUAUGUGACGAAAGCCAGCAGCCGAAGAUUUAGGAAAUGGGAAAUUAUGUAAUCCAAACCUAUAAGCAAUACAGCCCCCAUCUCAUGUCCACCAGAAACGUCCAUGAUAAAGGAUAAAAUCCAAUUGACACUUUCACAUUUGCAAAAGAUUAUUCACAGUAACAGUGGCGGAAUUUGUACGCUGCAAAUCCUGCAAAAUUUCAGCAGAGAGGGCGAGGGAAUUUCAUCUUCAAACCAAUACAGCACUAUAACAAAAAGAUGUAAAAUUAUGCAAAACAAAUUUAUGUUAUCCUUUCUCUAAUUUUCAGGAAUCUACAAGGGAGCCAGGGAGGAGGUUGCUGGAGAUAUUUGUACACAUAACAUGCGCAGGAAUGCUGGCAAUUUGAUUUUAACCAAAAACCAAAACACAAUACAGCCAGCUAAGAAACCACCAAAACACAAAACCUCGAGGUGAGCAACAGCAAAGUAAGGAAACAUAAAAAUUAGGCAUGCUGUACAGCCAGUUUUUUCAUAACAACUCAAAGAACAUGAGGUGACCGAGGAUGACUAAGGCAGCACAUUAGAUGACCUUGAAGAUGGACUCCUACAUGCAUGAAUAAGCCAUAUAAAGGAAGUGGGUCUUAGAAUGUCCAACCAUCGAGGCACCCAGUAUGAUGCCCAUCCAGACAUAAGAACUAGUACCCCCAAAUAAUUGAGAGGUUAAGAGGAGGCAUCGGACCACCACAAAGAAACCAAGCGACAGAAAGUGAGGAAAUGCAUCGUCUGGAUCAAGUAUAACACUCUUUCCUCAUAAAAUUACCAAAGAAGAAGAAGAAACAAUUUGGCGAGCCAACAAUGAUGAGGGGAAAUUCUGAAGAAGAAGAAACUAUUUGGAUUUACCAACCAAGAUAGACCCUAAGAAAAUAUCUUCAUUUCACCACUAAUUGCAGAAUUGGACACAGGCAUCAUGUCAAAAUAGAAACACAUGGUUCACAAGAAACAUUUCAAAAGAGAGCCUCACAAGCAAAAAACUAGAAAAGCUCUGUCCGAGACGGUAAUUCAUUCAGCACCUCCUAGCUUCACUUUUUCCCCUCAUUCACCUUUUGACAACUCAAAAGACCUAUAUUCAGAAAACAAUGGCACCAUUCUUCUCCACUGGAUGUUCAAUGUUACACAGUAAUUCCAGUAAACAAACCUAACCGCUAAAUAUUUUGAGGGAAGAUGAUAAUGAAUAUGAAUCCCAGUGAAAGAAAUUCCUACUUCCCAAUCAUAAUCAGUUGAAGGGAAAAAAAUUUUGAAUAUGAACAGGGAGAAGAAACACCUUGCAUACCUGAAUAAUUAUUUCAUCAGGAAUGUGGGGCAGAACUUCCCGGACAGUCUCAGCCAUGGCUAGCAUGCCUGCUAUGUUGUCAUUUGAAGCUCGUGAGGGGGUCCUCAUAUGCAAACCACCUGCACUUCCUGGAUACCUUGUAGGACCAGGAGGAACAGGUGAGCGGGAAGUACCAGCUUGAGAGGGAUUCAUAGGCCAAAGACUCCAGGCAGCAUCCUCAAGCGCAGUAUGUGCAUAGGUUUCACCAACAGCUGCAAGCUGCCUCAUCAUCAUCUGAACUCGACCCAAUCCAACGGAUCUUACACCACUAGAGGGACCAGCUCCAUCUAAGCUGAGCCAACUCGAAUCAAUUGCAGUGCCCCUAUAAAGAAAAUGUUGAAAUAAAAGGAAAAAAAAAUCAGCAACAGUUUGUGUUAUUGGUCAAUAUAAAUUAAGGUGGAUAGGAGAUGGAAAGAAACUAACUGAUGCGAUGAAUGCAUCAAGUUGGGCAAGAAUUCAAGAUACUGCUCACAUUCUAGUACCAUUUUGUUGGACAAGUACAGGAAGCAUUAAAAGGUGAAGAAAUGAUCCUAAAGCCACAAGCAGCAAUGCUUUGUAGACGGCAAGAUGUGAACAUGAUAUUGAUGUCAGUGCAGUAAACAAUAUAGUGAGUAAAUUAUAAAUUGCAGCAAGAUCGUGAAUGAACCAAUAUUUGUCUCAUUAACUUAUGCUUUGUAGACAGCUAGAUGUGAACAUGAUGAUAUUGAUGUCAGCGCAGUAAACAAUAUAGCAAGUAAAUUAUAACUUGCAGCAAGAUCUGGAAUGAACAAACAUUUGUCUCAUUAUCUAACAACAAAAUUCAACUCAAUGCUAGUUAUACAUAGUGCAUGUGUGGAAUAUCAUCUGAAGCUCUCACUGUAAAGGCCCCUUAGGCAGCACUCUUCCCCACUAGUAGUUUCUAGUUAUCUAUGCUGCCAAAAGUACUCAUUUCACCAUUUCCCUCUUAUACCAUUAUAGAAAAAUACUAAACACGUUAACUAUGAAAAACCAGACCUCCAGUCACCAGCUUCUAAUGGAUUUUGAGUCUGGUUAGGAAAGAUUCCCGUAGACUGGCCGUGACCAGGAAGAUUGGGCCUAUGAAGUCCAGCACUAAUUUGACGUGCAAGCUGCUCAUCACUUGAAAUUUCUGAAGCGUGAGAGUUUGCCUCAUGUUCAGAUCUUCCCAUAAAAAGGGGCUUUCGACAAGUAGGACAUGAAUAAUUCUCACUUAAGCCUUGAUCUAGCCUGGCAUUAGCACAGAGUCAGCAUAACACUCAACAUACUAUCAGCUAACCACAGAAAACAACUCCAGGCAAUUGAUUUGGAACUUACCAAGAUCUCAAGCAUGCAAGAUGGAAAAGAUGAUUGCAAGAUAGCUUCUUAGCCUUCGCCAUAGGUUCCUAUUCCCAAAUCAGACACUUGGAAGAGUUAUUAUAAAAAUAAGAAAGAGGAAAAACUAAAUUCCCUCACAUAAGAGAGAGAAGGGAGCAGCAAAAUACCCGACAAAUAGCACAUUCAUCAUCAUAAGCUCUUAGCUCAUCUAAUGUUGCAUCUGGAAGUGCCUCAUGAAGAGUGCCCAAUGCCAUCCUCAGUUUAACAAAACCCUUUAUGCGUUUUACAAUUGCACUUAACAAUGCCUAAUAAUGAGUUCAACACAUAAAAAAAGGCGGAUUUCAACCAACAGUAUAACAUUGAUGACAGCAAUAAUAUCUACAAAUUAAAAGAAUUGGAUCAUUGCAGUAAAAGGAGAGAGACAUUUACACGUAUAUUUAGGAAAAGGACAGCAUCAACAAGAUGAAAAGCCAUGCCAUGAAGCCACCAAAUAUGCAAAUAAUGUGCAAGAGCCAUAAAAAAUGUCAUCAUAUCCAGGAAAAAACCCAAGUUCCGAUUCAGAAUACCUUUCCAUUCCCACAAUGAUCCUGCAGUUAGAAAAUAGAAACCCUUCGAUCAGAAAUUAUGGACCAAGAAACCCAGCUAACCACAUGAAGCCCCUUGGCUCUUGAAUAAAAUAUUAAAAAUAUAUAAGACAUAGCACAGCAAUGCUCAACAGGUUGAGUGCCAUUGUGCACAGUGAGGAAGAAGAUAGAAAUAAGAGACAAAAAAGUGCAUGUUAAUAUUCAUCUGCUUCUUUAUCUUCACAUCAUUUCAUCAGAGGUGAAGUACUGCAUACACAUGCCAAAACUAAUCAUCUACUCAAAGCUCUUUAAAACAACCUGCUUUGUUGAUUAAAAUCUAUUCUUCCACAAAAUGUUCAAUGAAAAUGCUGAACAAUGAGAAUCAGCAUCAUUCCUCUAGAACUCAAAAAGUUACAGAUAAAAUCUCCUUUAGAAAGGAAAGGAACCAAAAAAAAAAGGAUCAAUAAUCAAAGUGCAUAAACUUUUAAUUAGGUGACAAGCAUACUAUACAGAAUUACAUGAAAAGUUACUAGUAAAAACCACCUGUAGCAGACAAAUCAAGGAGUUUGGAUAUCCGGCAAUUUGCAGUAUCUCCUGCUGAGUGAUGCAACCAUACAUCAAGCAAUUGAAAUCCAUGAACCACAAUGGCCUACAUAGGACAUUUUCAAUACCCAUACAGCUAUCAGGCUUGAGAUUGUAAGAAUGCUAUAAUUCCAGUGAAGGAUCUUGAGAAAAAUUGGAUAUAUGUGUGAUAAUUCUAAACCUACCUGUAAAGUCUCGAAAGCAAUGCUAAGAGGCUCAAAGAAUAACAAAUAAGAUGUUGGUGAACUAAUUGUGGUGUACACUGCCAAACACAGCCUUAUCCUACAAGAAAAAAAAAUCUGUAGAUAUUCAUGGUAUAAUCUAGCAUCCCACAAUAGGACACACGUGUAUUAAAAUGAAACGAUAUUUAUAGAUAUUCAUGGUAUAAUCUUACAUCCCCGCAAUAGGACAUACAUGUGGCUAUCGAAAUAUAAACCUAAGAUAUCAAGAUCGGACAUGAUAGCAAUGUAUCAUGUCCCCACGUUCAUCCCUAAUAUCACAAGAAAUUAAGUGGUGAAUAUUGACAAAGUCUGUUGACAAACACAAUACCAGAGGAUGUCGACAGAGAAAACCAGCAACAACGCAGAAUAUACACGAAAGUAUGUCCACGGAGUCACUGAUGGAGAAGCAUUCAAACGCUCAAGACGAUCCCUAGCUAAUGCUUGAAACAUCUGCGGUGUAUGCACAAGGUAAGACAACAACCAAAGAUAAAUCUUACAUCCUUGCUAAAAACCUGUUUGAAGACCAACUCUACCAUACCUUCAAACAGCAUAGCACAGCCAACCAGAUUGACCACAAGCCCGCUUGAAAUACAUUUGGUGGGACAACCAGUGGAAGAAAAGUUCCCUGUCCAACACCAAUAACACAUGGUCAUGUAUCAUGUAAUGUUUCCUAGGAACCAUAGCACAAUUAUUUUAUCAAAUAAACAUCCGGGUUUAACAUCAAAGGUGCACGAAAUAUAGAAAGUUCAACUAGACUUAGAAAUAAAGCACUCAAUUGAACUAUAUAAUGAUUUAUAGACAGGAGACAAAAGAUUUUAGAAUGAAAUUACGACGGCUAGAAAGUCUUACCUUGUAUAUAACAUAAUUAAUAAGGCGUUCAACUAAUUUUCGAGCUUCAGAUGAGUACAACUCUGAAAAGAAUAUAGUCUGCACAAAAACAAAGGUAAGAACACAUAUCAACCACCACAACAAUGUAUCAGAGCAGCCAAAUAUAAAGCUGUAUCAAGAAAAAAGGCUUGGAUCUUGCAGUAAAACACCCCACAACCUGAAAGGUCAAUCAGAGCCUAAUCCCAAUUACAAGCAUGCCCUAAACUCACCAGACAAUUAGGAUUUUGCUCAAGAGAGUUGCAACUAAGUUAAAAUGUGCAAGAGAAAAAUCACCUUGAGACACAAAAUUAGAAGGAUAAAUGUGUUAAGUGCAAAAUUUGCAGCCAAAGCAAUUGUAGCAUAGGAACUCAAAAGCAGCUCCAAUGCAUGGCUCCCGUCCCCUGAGCUAAUAACACUAUCACUAAUCAACCCAUCAGAUUUUAGUUGCUCAAGGGAUAUUGCUGUCCAACACCGAAGUCCGACAAAGCUCAAAACUGUGCAGACCACUGAGACAGAUAAGUAGCUCACACCCAUGGCAAAUACACAAGGACUCCACACCACAGCUGAAGUUCAAGAUUUUCAUGAGAACGCAGUUAGCAUGAUCCUUUGCUCCCAAAACUGACCGUAUCACAAGAUUGAGAGGGAGGGAGAACAGCAAAACUUCAGUGAUGUGCCAUCUACCAAAAGAUGAGAAUAGCCAAACUGCAAGAACGGAACCUCCAUUAAAUGCAGAAUAGAAAAAUAAAGAAAUCUAAAAACCGGUACAAAGGGGCCAAAACCAAAUUUGGGGCACGAUCUAAGAAAGGAUCGAGAAUCCAAACUAUGAAAUAGACACAUACUAAACAAAAAUUUAUAUUUAAAGUAUACACCUGCAAGAAGAUGAUCUGCUACCUCUUGAACCUAUGUUGGACAUUAAGAGUCAUCUGGUAUUAUUCAUGUGUCGUUUGCUAUUUCACCCAAGUUAUACAUUCUCUAUCCUAAAAAAGUCUCCAGCAACACAUAUUUGGUGAAACAGUGGGAACUAUGCAGCACUAAAUCUUCUAUCAUUUCAGUAAUCAGCAUCACCAUUUACUAUCCUUUUUAAGCCACUGAAAAUUAAAUGCCCUUUAUUAUAGAUAAGACCCUAUUCCCUUAAUGCCAAAUUACUGAAAUUGUCCAAAGGUAAAAGAUAGUUAAGUUUAGAAUACAAGUCAACUCCGAUUUAACUCUCCAGAAUGAGACGUACACGCAAAAAAAAAAAAACCAGUACUUGAGACAAUCCAAAUAAAUAUCAAGGCAAAAUCAACGAGAAAGUGGCGAAUGAAAUGAAUUGGCUUUUAGGGAAUUUCUAAUCUAAUUAUAGUAUCUAGUUUCAAUAGGUAAAGGGGGAAAAAAGAAACAUACUUAGACAAAAAUGCGAACCCUAGAAGCAGGGUUGAUGAAGGUAAUAUUACUAGGGGUUCUAGGAAAACUUAAGGAUUGACACAAAUUUCCUUAGUCUCGUUCCUAAUUAACCAAAUUCAAGAAUAAAAACACGGAUUGACGAAUCCAAUCGGUAUGCGUGGACACAGAUAAAUAUAGACAAAACCUGAAUCAUAUAUAAUCCGGAACAAAAUCGAGAACAUGAAAAUGGUACAUAAAUGCCGGGUGAAUCCUAAACCUGGGCCGAUCUUCAGAUGAAAGACGAAUAAAAGGACGUCGGCAAAUGCAGAUGAAAAUCUUCGGCGAUCUUCACCUCUCAAGAGGAGGACGGAGAGAGAGGUAAAGAGACAGUUUUUGCGGGAAAGCCAAGCCUAAUCAUAUAAACAUUGAACAAAGUACAAAUCCUAACUUGUACUAGUACUGUUAAUAUUAUUUUUAAUAGGUGAAAAGGUUCCCAACCAAAAAAAAAAAAAAAAGUGCAAGUCUUUUUUGCCUUUUCUUUCUUCUUUCUUUAUUAUUAUUAUUUGGUUUUAAAAAAUACCAAUUUUUUGAAAUUCUAAUUAGAUUUAUAGCGUGAGUGACAUAUAUGUAGGAGUGCACCCCUAGCCGCACAAGAUUGUCAGAAUUAUUUUAUUAUCUCCUUUGUCAUACUACUAUAUUCCAUAUACCAGUAUUUUGUCCUUUUCUUGAAAGGACCUGCUGUGGAAUCCGCGAUUAUAAUAUUCAAGGAAGGUUCGUUUCCGCCUAACCUCUGAUUCGGGUUAAUUGCAAAGUGCCCAAUGAACUAUGGUCAAUUUGCACUUUGCCUCCUACACUAUCAAUUUUAAUCAUUUCAUGAUAUAUAUACAUAUAUAUAUAUAUAUUUUUUUUAUAUUCAUUAUACGUCGCCCGGAUCAACUCAAAGUGUUCUAGGAAAUUAUAUAGAGAUAAGUAUUUUAAUUUAUUGAAUUGAUCAAUAUUAUCCAUACGCGUUCUCUUGCUAUAUUACUACUGUCAUUCUACCUUUUUUCAUGCCUCUUCUUUUCAACUCUCAUUUUUUAUUGUUUGUCAUCAAUGCUUGCAUUCAAAACAAAAGAACUUUUGAUUAUGAAAAAAAAAAGGGACAGAAGAACUUUUGAUAGUAUGAACUAUGUGUUUGUGCAGGUUAUAGGAUUAACUUCUUCCAUUUACUAUUGAUUUUACAAUAUAGUUAUAUUUUGCAACAUUAAUGGGGUUGCAAGUAAAAUUUUGAAGUUCUAUUGGAAUGCUUAGAAGAACACGUAUUUUUAGGUUCAUUAGCGCAUUUUUCUUGCAAAACAAUAGUCUAGAAAACCAUUGGAUCAUCAUAAUUAGCCAUAAAUAUUGCAAAGUAUAGAGGUGUUACAAUUGAUAGUUUUGGGGAUAAGUCAGAAGUCUACAAUAAGUUUAGGGGCAACAUGCUAAUCAAUCAUUGCGCAAAAAUUUUGAUCUGACAUGAUCUUUGAUUUUUUUUUCUUUUUUAUUAUUCCCUUUUGUCUUUUUAUUAUUAUAAGGAUGAUCUUUUGGCAGCUUUUUAAAAUGGAAAAGCAAUCCGUAAAUAUGUUAUUAAAGGAAUUAUAACUGACAACAAUAAUACUGCAAGAAAUACGUAUAUAUGAAGGAGUUUAGACACAUGUAAAUAUGCCAUCCACAUCAAAAAAAAAAAAAAAAGUUCUAUAAACUUUUUGUUGCAAUUGGCAUAAUAUAGGUCCUGUUUGGAAGCUUGGUUUUUUACCAAGUUUGUAUAAAACUAGUUUUUUAACAACUUUUACUACAGGAACCCCAAAAAACUUAUCAAAAGUUUUUAACCUAUACACUUAAAAUAUCCAAAACACAAAAAAAAAAAAAAAAUUCCCUUCCCCUUUUCUUCUUCUUUCUCCCCCACCACUACCUCCAUUGCCGGCUUCGUCACCAAUUUCCGGUGCCGGUGCCGGACAAGAAUUUUUUUUUCCCCUUUUUUUCCCUCUCCCCCUCUUCCUCCCCUGCCAUCAUCCUCUCUUGUCUCUUUUUUCUCUCUACGUCCGGCGCAGAGGGGAGCGGCGAGGAAGGCAGAGGGGGGAAGGGGCAGCAGGGGGAGGGGGAAGGGACAGAGGAGACAGCGCAGAGGGGGACGGCGGGGGAGAGAGGAAAGGCGGGAGGAGGGGGAAGGGGCAGAGAGGGGAGGCGCAGAUGGGGGCGGCGGAGGAGAGGGGGAAGGCGGUGCAGAGGGGGGUGAUGGGGGGAGGGGGAAGGCGGGGCAGCGGGGAGGUGGAGUUGCUGCUGGGGGUGCGGAGGUAAUGGGGAAGAAGAAGAAAGAAGAAGAAGAAAAAGAGAGGAAAGAAAAGAAAAAGGAAAGAAAGAAAAAGAAAAAGAAAGGGAAAGAGAAAAAAAAAAGAAAAAAAAAGAAAAGGAAAAAAAAUUUUCACCUUAUAAAAACUUCUAUAAAAUUUUUUCAAAAAUUUCUACAGUACACUACAGUAAAGUUUUAGACAAACUCCCAAAAAACUUAGGUUCCAAACAGGCCCAUAGAAUCUAUCGUUGAAAGUAUUUCUUAAAAAAAAAGAGAUAAGAGCACGUUUAAUCAUUUGGGAGCCCAGUGCAUUUUUUUUUAAUUUUUACUCAUUUUGUUGUUUCUUUUUCUUUUAAUGUGUGCGAAGAAUGUGUGCGCGAGUAGUGUUUGAUAAACUUUAAUCAUGAGUUGGGUUAAUUGUCACCAUCGUCAGUGGCACGCACAUAUAUAUAUAUAUAUAUAUAUAUAUUCUAGAAAAACAAAAAAAAUUAUGAAUUUGUUCUUUCUUGUAUUUUACACCAAGAAUGAUUAGUUACGUCAUGUAUACAUUACUAGUUUCGAAUUUUGUAAGCACGGAGUUAUUUGGAAUCAAAUGAUUUCCAUAGGAAACUCUUAUAAAGUAAUUUAUUUAUUUUUUUUAUAUAACAACACAUUUAAUUUAAUUUAACAUACUCUUAUUCCUGUUUGGAGAGUCGGUGACCAGAUGGGUGCGCCACGCACCUGUAUGGAUUUAGAACAAAUCUCAUAUAAAGGCACAUUGAUGGGAAGCGUGAUUAACUUAGUUGUAUCAAAGAAUUGUUGCACUGAAAUAAAUUCUUUAAACGACAACGCACAUAAAAUUAAAUUCUUACAAAAAUCUAAAGUACUUGAAUUUUGCUGUAGCUCAUCCCAGGUAAUUAAAAUCUGUCCUGAACUUUUAUUUAAUCCUUAAAUGCCUGUCUGUCCACACCGACAAACGUAGAAGGUGUUGACCUGAGAUGUAGCGUUUUCUUUCAUUGGUCGCCUCCCAAGUAAAUAAUGCAUGAAAAUUCUAUCCCCAAUCAAACCUUUGCCCAAAAUUCACCUUCUUGGACCAAGGCCAAUGACCACUAAUUAAAUGGAAAGGUGGUUUAAAAAAUAAAAGAAUGAAAAGAAACGUAUUACCUCGGGCUAAACGUAAUAUACUGGACCCGGACAGUCCGGCCCAAGAAAACCGAAAAUUAAGAGCGAGAAGUACCAGUGCUCGGCCCACAACUAAGAAAAAGGAGUGUGCUUAGUAGUCAGAAUCGGUGGCAGCUGACGUGCUUCGUCGUCGACUCGCUACUGCGGCCGGCCGUCGUGGGCAAUCGACUGUUGUGGUGUGCAAGUCGACCAUAAUAAUAGUGAAUCCAUAGAAAGCCCUAAAUGUGAAUUUUUGCAGCGUUUGGAAAAGAGACAGAAAGGGGCGGGGGGUGUUGGGGCUUGGGAGGACGGGUUGAUGGGGAUAAUCAGGAGCAGCUUCUCCUUGAUAGCGGGUGCAGUUUGCGGAAUAUACAUAGCCCAGAACUAUAACGUCCCAAAUAUUAGGAAUCUUACCAACGAAUUCCUCUUUCGGGCCAAAGAAGUCGAAGAAAAGUAUCGCAAGCCCAAGAAGCCCGGCGACGGCGUUUAGUUCAAUUGCUUUUCUUUUCUUCAAUUAUGAUCCGGUGCGUUUCUUCCUCACGCCAACCAUUUAUUUUUCCUUUUCGUUUAUGUUAUGAGCUAUACAGUUUCUAAUUCAGUCGUUAAAGUCACCGGAGAUGUCUACAGUGAUUUCGCAUCCGAAUAAUUUGAUUGUAUAUUUAUUUUUUUAAAAAUUUAAUAUGUCUGUUUCGGCCUAGUAAUACUGCAUGCGUGUAUUAUUAUAUGUGUUUGAUUUUCACUUUCAUAUUGCUGUUCCACACGUGAUGGAGGUCAUCACCGUAUGAAUCUGAUUGGGGCGAGGGGCCUCAUUUCUUUUUCUAUCUGAUUUAUUGGUGUCACUGGAUGAGAGUUCGUCAUUUGAAAUUACUGCAAUAUAUGCACAAGAACCUGUCAGAGGGUUAUGCAAUUUUGCUAGAUUCUUGACAGAUUUAUGGAGGUGAACCUGAACUAGAUACUCCUUAUAUUUCUAUGGUGCAUGAUGAUGAUCAUGCUUUCUACUGUAAAUUCUUAUUCCGUUAGAAUGCACCACUGUUUAAAGAAUAGUUCAGGGGUUGGAGUUGGACCUUUCUAUGGAUUUAGCAGUUAAAGCACAUCCUUGUAGGUACAUAUAUCGUUUUAUCCAAAACGCUGCAUUUGCUAUCAUGCUGUUGACUUGUGUUCAAUUGCAUUUCGCAUUUGAGUUCCACUAGGGGACCUGUGCUCCAUUCCUUUUCUGGUGCUUUAUUUCCAAAAAUAACAAAAAUUGAGAUAAAAAUUCUAUUGUGUUGGUAGAGAGAAUCUCAUAUGAAAUGGAGGAUAACGUGCUAAUGCUACAAAUCUCCUCAAUUCUCUAUUAAAUUGUGAAACACUAGCUGCAAGUUUUUUUUUUUGGGGGGGUAUAAUCCUAGUGACUUUGCCAUCUCCAUGCCAUUGAAUGAUAUACUCCAAUAGAACAUAUAACAAACCUUCAGUUUGAUACUACAAUGACGGUAUAUCUAGUUAGUAUUGGAUGAGGAUUUGUCCUUCGGAUGGUUUGGUGGAGAAUUGUAUGCUUGAUGUUAAUUGCUUAGUGAGUAUAGCAUUUCUCUCUCGAUCAAUGUUCAAGUUUCUUUUCUCUGUAAUAUGGUGAUAGGAGUGAUCUUGUCAAGUGAUUCUACCUAGCUCUGGAAUGACAUUCUGUACCAGUGAAGUUGGAUACAGGACUUUGAUUGGAACCCAUUGUGCUGUAUGAUAGAUAUAGAAUCGCCUUAUUUCACACGAGAUCCUCAGUGCCAUUUUUCCGGUGGCAAUUCAUUGCCACUUCUAUAUUUAUGCCAAGUGUCCUGUUUAUUUAAUUUGUCAUAUGCUAUUUAUUUAAAUUUCUUCUACCAUCACGUGAUAAGUGGGAUUAGCACUGAAUUUGGCACCGAGUAGUGGCAUAGAGGAUCCCAACUGGCCUUAUUUAGGUUUUAGUGGUUAGCUUUGUUUGCAUGCUUAGAAAUACUUGCUGUUGUACUUGCUUGGUGUUUAUGCUAUUGAUGAGGUGUAAUUUUUCCUAUCUUUCAGUCUUAUAAGGGCUCUUGAUGUUGAAUUUGGCAGGUCGAUUAGUUGGUUUCAUUUUGACUGAUACAAGAAAGUGCAGUGCUGGAACAGGAUAUCUCAUAGUUUGGUCAUUAUUUCACUUUUUUCUGGUGGGGAGAUGGGGAGUUAAAUAUUUGCUGAAUAAGUGGUUAAAUCUUGUGAGGUGAUUGCUGCCGUUUUGGUCAGAUACUCGAUUACUGAAAAUUCUGAUUUAGUUGUUUUAUAGUCUUUCCAUAUACUUCCUGGUUCCUUGUCUGUAGUAACAUCUUUUACUCCCCUUCAGAUUACGCACCAUGAAAUGAAAGCCUUGCAUGUCUAGCUUAGUUAAUCUGUUAAGGAUAACCAUGUUGCCAUAUGCUUGUCACAGAAAAAAAAUUGAUUUAUGAAAGAAAAUCGCUCUCUGAGAAUGUCUUUUCAGGUACCAUAUGGUAAAAACAUGAUUGAAAUCUGUUGCAAAGACUCAUUUCUCAAGAUUAAAUAGCAAUAUUCAUUUCUGCCCUAUCUUGUCAUGGCGUUCAAUACAAUUAUACAAGAAUCAAUUUUACCACGUAAAUAAAAAGUUAUAUGAAAAGUCACAUCUUAGCUAAAAUAUGAGCAGGAACAUUUCCUAGUCCUUCUCUGCCAUCAUGAAAGUCAGCCAUCAUGAACCUAAUAACAUGAAUCAAAUUGCCAAUUAAGGACAAAUCAGGUUCACUACUUUUGAUUCUCUGCACGAUAUUCAGUGCAUCCCCUUCAAGUAGGAACCAGGAAGACUGUAAUUCCAUAGUCUUUGGCUAACUGCAGGGCAUUGAGAAAAGCCAAGGCCUCCACAUGAUCUGCGCUAUAAGCUCCUGAAAUUCUUUCCGACAUUGCUGCUUCAAUUUGGCCUAGGUGGUUCCUUAACACUAAUCCAAUUCCAGCCCCUUCAUCUGAGAAAGCUCCGUCUACGUUUAUUUUCAGAACGUUUUUCUUCGGAGCCAUCCAUUUGUUAUGAUCACUAGGACUUUGAAGUUUCUUAACACGGUGCAGAUUCCAGAACCCCUGCAUGUAAGUUCUAGCAGUACAUUUGAUAAUAAUUGGAUAUUUUAUUAUUGGGAAAAUCAUUUAAAAAGUUUUGUACAUUUCGUCGAAUGAUUUUUUUUUUUUUUUUUAUCUUUCAUCUUUAGAAUAUUAAUUUUAUGUUUCUCACAAAUUUAAGUAAGCAAAAUUUUGUCCCAAUCUAAAUUUUUAAUCACUUUUUAAUUUGAAAUCACCCAUAUGAUCCACAUGCAAUCACUUUUAUGUAGAAAAAAAAUUAAAAUUUACUUUUUUUAGAGGCAAAAGAUGAAUAUGAAUUAGAUCAGAUUCCACUUUUUAGGAGAAAAAUGAAUAAAAUUCAAGUUAGAUCCUACUUUUUUAGGGGUGAAAAUAAUUAUGGAUCGGGUCAUUUGUUUAACCAUAAAUAAAACUCAAAUCUUUUUUAAAUGACCAUGUGUAGAUUACGUGAUGAAUUUAGUGUAAAAAUUGGUCAAAAUCUAGAUUGUGACUAAAUUUUAUCGUGUUGAUUUUGUAAGGAACAUAAAUUACUACUUUAAAAAUGAAAAAAAGAAUAAGAAAAACUUCUUUUAGCAAAAUAUGGGGAACAUUUUGAAUAAAUUUUUCUUUUUUAUUUUUACAAAUUUAUUUAUUUGCAUCGCAAAUACAUUUUCCAAUUAUGUUUUUGUUUCGCAUACAUCAUAUCAAAAAAAUGUUACAGUAUUUUUUUAAAAAAUUAUUUCAACUAAUCUCCUAUCCAAACACGUUCAUUAUCUUGUCCGUUGCAAUUGGACCAAGUACCAUCAGCAGUAAUGCCCGCCUCCAACUCCCCUCGUCUCCCUCUGGAAAAGAAAGAACACAAAGAAACAGUGGAGCGGUGGUUUGGAACCGGAAACUUCCACUUACAGAAGAACUGAGAAAGAAAGUCCGAAGACAUAAGGGUGACUCACUAAUGACCGCAGUAAUUUGCAAAGGUGGCGGAGUGAAUCAAUUAGAAAUCCCAAAAUGGAGGAAAGAAGGCCGAGUUCCAAGUCGUAGUAGAGAUCUCUUGACUACUAAUUGGCACUUACCAAUUAGCGAUUAGCAUAGUCAAUUGGCGCAUUCAUUCUGUAACAAAAUUGCUAAACAAGCAUCAAUUGAAAACGAUUGAAACCAUGUUGAUGAUACAGGAAACUUCUAAUAACCCAUCUAAAAACAUAUGCAGAUUUCAUUCGUCAUUGGAGAGAUGUUUUUAACCCCAGAUAAGCAGCCAUUGACAAUAAAUGUUCAAUCAAAAUCAACAAAUGCCUGAAUGUAACCUGAUAUGUUGUUACACUGAGCAGUCAUACAUUGCAGGCUUUCUGCUUUCUAUCCACGCCUUAUAUACAUGAAAAAUAAGUAUCAAGAUACACAGCCUCAAGUUGCUAACAUCAUACCCAUCUGUUCUUUUCAAAGGGCAAACCCAGACAUCAGAACAAUUUUUGACAAUUUUUGAGAACCUUCCGAGGACACACACAAUUUAGAUACUGUCGCAUAUUCGCCUGGUUUGCAAAAUUUCUGAGAACCGAUUAGUAAGUUGUUUCAACCUGGAAGGAGGACAUAAAACACCCUCUCCUGUCUUGGUUUUUGACACCAGAAGAUUCUUUACCUCUUCAUGUGUAUCAUCCGAGGAUUAGAGCUAAAGCAAGAAUAUACACAAGCACCAUUAUCUAUGUUACCUCCCCAAGAACAAUCACACUUCAACAGGAGGCGGCCCUGGACAGGACCUCGACUCUUGAAUCUUGGUAGCCACCUCGGACACAACAAGCCUAGUAAGAAGCAAACCCGCAACUAGAGCAGCUGCCAUGAGCAUUGUGAAAACUGCAUUCCAGCUCUUAGCUGAAAUGUACCCUGUUAGCAGUGGACCGAUGGCAGCUCCAAUUGAGCCAGUGCCAUCUAUUAUUGCAGUAACAGUUGCUAAAGCCCUGGCGUUGCCUUUCAAUGAGCUAUGUGUUCCCAGGUCAGCCGAUACAGCAGUCGUGAUGAGAGCGUAAGGUCCAUUGACAAACAUGCCGGUGAUCAACAUGAGGAUGAUGUUCAUGGUCAUCGAGAUGUUUCCAUAACUUCUGUAAAAGAACAGAGCAGGAAUAGCGCAGUACAUAAAGCUCGCAGCUGUUAUAGCUCUAGCAUUUAAAUGAUCGGAAAUAUGACCAGCUAGAAUUCCUCCAACAACCCCUCCAACAUCAAACAAUGUCGACAGGUUUCCAGAUUCUUCAUCAGACAAGUACCUUCCAUCUAUAGCUGCAGCCCAAAAACAAAGAGAGGUCAAUAAAAUGUAUCAAACAGCUUGUAUUGAAAGGUGACCCGCACAAUUGUGGAACUAAAAAGGCAAUCAACUAAGGUCUGCUGCCUGAAUUGAGGAAUGAAAAUAUACAAGCCAAUCAAAAAAUCCAAGAAUGAUGGGUACCUGUAUGGUUAAUAUAAAAAGGAAGCCAAUACAGAAACGUAUAAGCCACCAACUUGGCGAAGAAUAGGCAAAGAGCAAAAGGUGCAACACCAGGAAUUUUCCAUGCUUCGAUGAACCCAACUGCAGACUCCACCCCUUCCUUAUCUGAUCUGAGAAGAGGUUCUGAUAUUUCCUCGCCAUCUUUUUUGGGAGAGCAUUCUUCUUCUUCUUCAUCAUUGUUGGCCCCAACAGACUCCGGACUAACAGGUAAGAAAAGGAAUACCAUUAAGCCAAUGAAGGCAAUUCCCAGACCAGGAACAGCAGUUGACCAUCCCCAUCCAUACUUUAAUAAAGCCGAAGCAACCAAGGACCCUGUAAUGUUACCCACAGAAGUGUGAGCAUUCCAAAUGCCCAUUAUAAGCCCUCUCUUCUUCUUCCCAAACCAAUUCCCAACAACUGCCACCACUGAUGGCCAUCCAGUAGAUUGGAACAAUCCUGCCAUCAUCUGAACUAUCAAAAAGUAGUAAAAGAUGUGGACAUUCCCCCAAUACCCAACCCCAAAAAGGGCUGUGAAUACACCAGUUCCAACCAUUCCUGCAGUUAGGAAUAGUCUAAGAUCCAUUCUAUCACCCACGUGGCCAGAGAAAUACAUUCCUAUGGCAUAAACAAAAAGAAAGGCAACAUCAAGUUCACCAAGCAAUGAUGUGCCAUCUGGACCAUUGAAUGGUGCCCAACCAUUUCCAAGCUGAAGCAAUAAUUUGGUGCUUUUAGCUCCUGAUUCAGGAUCAAGUGCGCUCUUGACAAUGCUGGUAGUUUUCCGAGUAGCAUGGAAUGAUGCGUAAGCAAAGAAUGUUACAAUUAGGACAACGGCUUGAUAGGUGUUGAAAGAAACUGAGGUUUUCUUUAAUUUCUCAAUCAGUACAAUUCCCCGGGGCUUUCCCUGGUUUUUCUCCGCUACGGAUUCUGAAGGGGAACCCAUCAAAGGCUUUUCGAAUGGAAAAUAUGAGGUGAAGCGUAGGUGAAAUGGUUCUCUUACUAAGCCAGAAGCAAACCUGAAACAGGGGAAAACAAAAGAGUAAGAGAUCGGAUAAUGAUUAUUUUUGAGCAGAUGAGUUGCUAAACAUAAUUCAGUUCAAAUAGUAUGGAAAAGAACAUUAAAGCAAAGCCCUCAUGUCUCGAUGCAAAAGAUGAGCAGGUCAACAAGAGAAACAAGUUACACCAUUAGAUAAGCUGUAGUGUCUGUUUCGCCAAUUCAAAGAUCAAACUUUUUCCCAAAAAAUCAAUAGCAAAGGGUUUCAUGCUGGUACUUUGAAGAGAAAAGGUUCAGGGGUUCGGUAUCUGUCAAAUCGAGGUGGCAUACGGGUUAAUUUGUCUUAUUUGCUCGGAAGAUUUCGAUACCUCUCCAACUGUCAAGAGAAUCUUUAAUUUUUUUUAGAACUCAGAAGAGUAAUCUUGACACUGUCAAACAGCUAAACUAAUCGCUCCUGCAAGAACUCCAGCGCAGAAUAAUCCCUUUCGCCAUCAAAAUCAAGGCAAUGAAAAGAAUCUGACAAGAAAAUAUGCCCAAAAGCACACCUAAAAAAGAAUGGAAGUGCAAAUUAAAAAGUAAAAAACCGGACGUAUUGCAGUACAGAAUCAGAUAGUAUAAGGGAGCAUCCGUGCGGAAGUCACCGAGAGGACUGAACCCAAUAGUACUAAUUCACGCAUGAACAUAAUCAACAAGGGAAUCAGAGCUUAGACAAGCAAAACAAUCUGAAUAGAAAGUCGGUAAGUUUUUUGCCCGAAUGCAUCGGACAAACUGAUAAUUCACGCAUGAACACAAUCAACAAGGGAAAUCAGAACUUAGACAAGCAAAACAAUCUGAAUAGAAAGUCGGUAAGUUUUUUUGCCUGAAUGCAUCGGACAAACUGAAAAUAACAGAAUCUCGUAACGAAGUUAUACGUGGUCCAAAGAGCAAGAUAAGUUCGUGUAUUUUAACCAAAAUCUGAAACCGUCGGAAAACUCGAAACACAACAAUAUAUUCUAGAAAAAAUCCCAUUUGCAAUAACUGCUUUUCGAAAUUUGUCAAGCCAAAAUAUGCUCGGCAGCAGCUCAAAAACAGCGGAUAACCAUCCUAACCAACCUUUUAAAAAACAGAACAUCAAUACAACGUCAGAAAAACCGAUUGGAUCAAUAAAAGAAUGAGGAAGCUUACGUUGCUUGUUAAGCAGGCUCAGCUGAAAUGCUUUAUCGAUCUCUUGCUUCUCUGUUAUAUUUGACUCUCUUUCCUGUCUCUAGCUAUGGGGGAUUUUCAAUUUUGACGAGGAGUAACCUGCAAGGAGUUGCUUUUCCAAGCUGCAAAUAGGCACACACCGUUCACUGGCUGGCUGGCUGAGAUGCGAGUUGCAACGCGAGAGGAAAGGUCAAUUUAAAAUAGAAAAUUGCCGCUCUUGAAUCCCGGUUGUACCCUUAAGGGCGUCAAAGUUAACCAAAGUCUCGGGCUAUCGAUUUUGAUGAGGUGGGAAAACUCGAUAGCCCCGGUUGACAUCUUUGCCCCUUGACCUUGAGGGAUAAGUCACAAGUCUUGAUUACUUGAAAUUCGUAAGACUUCUGCUGUCCCCUUUACCUGUUACUUGUGGGAGAAAAAUCCCAAUAACCCUCUAAUCUCGUAGAUAAUCAUCUUAUUGGACCAGUUACAACUUUAAUUAAGUUUUAGAGUUCGGAUCUAUGUGAGUACUCAAUCUAACUACUUUGAUACGCAAUUACUAAUAUCAGAUUUCUAAAUUAAACAUUAUAUUAGCGCUUCUUUCACUUUAUGCGAGUCUUAACUCGUAAUUGUCUUGUGAUAGUCAUAUCAUUUUAUCGGCCACUUAAAGUACAUUUUAAUUUAUCAUAGAAUAUUUUUUUAUUUAUAAUAUAUGCUAAAAUGCUUAUACUAAGUAUUGCAAUCCAAAAAAUUGUAAUUUAAACACAACCUAAGCUUCUAUGUUAAUAAAAGCAAAAGAUGCCUCAUCUUUACGAGGGAGAGAGAGAGUUGAGAUUGGGAGUCUAAUCCGGACAUUUUAACUUGACUCUUGAGAUCUUGUGAUGAAGUAUGCUCAAAUCAAUUGACUUGCAUCCCCCGUUUGUCCUAGUAAUUCGCACAAAACAAAAUCCAACUUUGACUAUCCAUGCCUUCGAGUCAUUUCUUCAUAUUUAUAAGUUCCUUGUUAAAUAAGUCACGUAAUGCUUGCUAGCCUAUUUCUUUCUCCCCUUUUUUAUUGGGGUAAUACAGAGCUUUCACAUUUCCCGUCAGCAUCGGUAGCAAGUGGGUGUCAUCUAGCUGUAAAGUCAGAUGAUCGGAACCAACCGAGCUAUCCACUGUUUCCGAUUAGAAACGACGCAGUCGACGACUUCAUUUUUCCAAAUUUUCUAUGUACUCUGGAUCGUAGAGGUACGUAUUCUUCCUUAUUGACAUUAAUGCUGGCCACAGGAAGAAAGUAAACCGAUAAUGUUGCUAAAAUAUAAAAUCAAUUUCAGUGCUGGCCAGGUGGAAUUCUUGAUCCGGGACGAGUGGAUUAUACACUUGUAAUAAUAAUAAAUAAUAUGGGGUGCCCAAGUGAAUGUUCAUUGGAAUGGGUUUCAUCAACAGGCCAAUUAUAUAGAAUCCAGUGGUUACACCUAACCCACACCUCCAGACAACGAAAGUGGAAAACGACAGAAACUCGUUCACUCUUUUAAUUUUCAACUUUGUUGACACAAUUGUUCGCAUUCUAUCGUGUUGGUAUCCUGAAAGAGAAAUGUCCCUUUUCUUCCAACGAAGUUGAAGUGGGAAAAUUUUCAGGUUUUCAUUGAUCGAGUCGUGUUCGUAUCUGGUGUUGCAAUUUGCUUGAAAAUGAUACCUUCACCGGGGAAACACAGAAGAGGUCGCAUUCUGAUUUCUGAAAUAUGAACCAAUAGAAUAUUACUACAAAUGGGUGUCCUUUUCAUUACGCAUGGAUUGAAUUUAACGUAAAGUGAUUGCAUUAAAUCUUGGUGGUUGAAGUUCUGGCCACGACUAGUCUUGAGAUCUUGCGCAAAUUGUCAUAAGAUUUUGAUAUUCAAAUUGAGAAUUUCACGAAAAAUUUGAAAUCUUUCGAAUCCUUCAAAGUUAUGCAAGUGACUCCAAAGAUAUUUAAAAUUGUAAUUCAUCGAUCCUUUUAAUGUGUAAAAUUAUAUUUCAUUCAUUCUCUUUGUUUCAUUUUCAAAGCAUAACGCUUGUUCUCAGCAAAUUAAAAUGAGCUAUAAAUAUUUUCUUUUAAAAUUUAAAUAUGUAUUUAAUUUUAAAAAUCCGUUGAAAAAUAUUCUUUAAUGCUUAGAUAAGUUAAAAAUGGAACUAUGUGGCUAGAAAGAUGAUGUAUGUCCCCGUGCAACUCCUUUAAAGCGCCCUACAAUCUUCCAAAUGAGGUUUGGUCCACACGUGCGAUUCCCCCGCAAGUGAUAAAAGGGAAUGCUGAUGUUUGGAUUGUAAAUUAUUUGAAAUAAUUUUGUGAACAAAUUACUGUAAUAUUUUAUUUUUUUUGAUAUGAUGUAUGUGAAAUAAAAAAGAUAAUUGAAAAAUGAAUUGAUGAUGCAAGUAAGUCAGCGUGUGUAAAUAAGGUGUAAUAAUUUACAAUCCAAACUUAGGCCUUGUUUGGAUUGUCGUUUUUCGCCGAAAAAUUACGUCAUUUUCCGUGAUUACAUUUCUCUAUUACCUUUUUCCCUCACAUACAUCAAAUUGCUACAGUAAUUUUUCCAUGAAAAAUGACGAAAAAUACAAUCCAAACGGGGCCUUACUAUUCUUUUUCUUUUCUAAUGGCAAUCCCAUUACUUGUUUCAUUACGUAGUCUAAUAAAUAAAAUUAUAUAAUAAAAAUGAUAGUAGAAAUGUCAUUAACAAAAAAUGAAGUGAAAUUAACAAUUCUCUAAAAUUAUAGAACCCACGUUAAGUCUAGAGGUGGCAAAUCAACCCAUUUAACUAGAUUUACCCAUACCCGUUCAUGAAUAGAUGGGUAUGGAUAUCUUAAAUUUUUGUAUCUGGGUAUAAAUGGGUAUUAUUGGGUAACCCAUCAAACCCAAUUAACCCAUUUUAAAUUAUCUUCCCCCCCAAGUCUCUUCUUUUCCCCUACCUUUUUUUUUUUUCAAAUUUUUCAUUUUGUCAUGAUGUUAACAUUAUUAUUAUUAUUAUUAUUAUUUGUUGGUUUUAUCUUAUUAUUUUAUUUUUUCUUAGUUUGUUAUCUUGCUCAUUUUUUAGCAUUACCAAUUUAUGAUAAAUUUUAGCCUAUUUUCUUAUCUUUAUAAAAUGAAAUUUUAAAUUUAUAUAUGAAAAAAAUGUUAGGGGUUCAAAAUUUUUGGAUUAAGUUUUUAUAUUAAUUUUUAUAGUACUUAAUUCAAAUUUUUAUAUUCGUAUUAUUCAAUUAUUAAAUAAUAGGUAAUUUUGUGACAUAGAGUAUAAAUGAAAAAAAUUGGUAAUUAAGUUUAUUGAACAUUAUAAGUAAAUAUUUAAAACUAAUGAUGGGUACAAAGAGUGGUAUAAAUUGAUAACUUAGUUUGCAAAAAUGAAUUUAAAUGAGUUUGUAAAAAGUUAAAAUAAAUGAGUUAUAAAUGGGUAAUUGGGUUACCCAAUUCAUUUUUUGACUUACCCAUUUAUACCCAUCUAAUUAAAUGAGUAUAAAUGAGUUGACUCAUUAAACCCAUUACCCAUUUUACCAAACCCAAACCCGCCCAAGUCACCCAUUUUGACACCUCUAGUUAAGUCCAAAUGAAAAUAAUAUAACCUUUUUUUCCCCUUAAAAAUUGUUUAACGAUGUAGAGAGGGCAAUCAUGUGAAUUCAUGUUGAAGUCAAUCAGGACAGCCCCUAAAACUGCGACGGGAGCAUAGCGCUGCGUUGGGGCAAUAUUGUCAAUUGACAACCGCCGGCUUGCUUUAGAAUUAUAAUGGAGAGAAAUGGUUCAAAAUGGAUAUUCGCACCCAGAAAGAGCAUAAUUCUUUGCGUGCCGUGCAUAUUCUUCAGCCGAUUCUUCCCCGACAGAAUGAUGGACCCACAUUUCUGACGUGGAAAACGGAUUCUUCUUUGGAGCGUUUUAGUGACGUGGAAUUUCACUUGAACAAAUUGUCAACUGGUUGGACAAAACGUCUUACACCGCAUUUGCCUGCGUGUCUGCUUCCCCAUGACAUGCUUGGCUUCGCGAGGAAUGCAGGUCGGAAUCGAAGAGAAGAGAUCUAUUUUUCCACCGUCUAAUCAAAGCCCAAUUAUUAUUUUAUUUUAACCAAGAAAAGGAAAGGUAAUAAAUUAUAGGCCCAUUCUUUUAACUGUGAGAAUGCGUGGAGCAAAUUAAAAGAUCGAUCUGAGGUUGACAAGCUAAUUACUUAGAAUAUUAUAAAAAAAAAAUUCGGACACGUAUGGCUCUGAUAGGGACUCGGGGCACGGACGGUUGCACCUGCAACCGUUCCGGGCAAUUUUGAUCAUUAUCAACUGCGCGUAACUUUCUUUGUACAUUGUGUAACUUUUUUUUUUCACAGGAUGUAUUUUCACAACAGAUAGUGGUUGGUCCCACGUUUGGUGCGGAAAUCGAGUUACAUGGUGUAAUCUCAGCCGCACAAAAUUUUGAUGGUAAAUCUUGACCCUCCGAUAGAGUUCUGGUAUCAAACUAUUGGUGGCGGGCUAUGACACAAAAAAAAAAUUUUAAAAGAUCACUGGCUGCCGGAGUGACACAGCCCGACAGCCACUCAAAAGUUUUUUUUUUUUGUCAGCCCGGCAACCACAUGCAAAAAGUGAAAAAAAAAGUCAUUGAAUGAAUAAAGGACAUUCUCAAGGUCUGUGAAUGAAUAAAAUUUUCUCUUCGUUAUAACCAAGCCGUGGUACAGAGAUGGCUUUUUUCUUUCUUUCUUUCAAUUUUUUAAAAGUCUAGCUAUACCUUUCACAAAGCCAUGUAAAAUUAUACCAAUUAUUUUCAAAUAUUUAUUUUGGGAUUUCCUGAACUAAUAAAAGAAGUUUGUUGAGAAAUACUCACUUCGUCAUAUUUUGAUAGUUUUGAUUUUUUUUUUUGCAGUUAUGUAAAAUAAUACCAAUUAUUUUUGAAUAUUUAUUUUGAAUUUUCCUAAACUAAUAAAAAAAUUUUGCUGAGUAAUACUCCAUCUGUCCUAUUUUGACAAUCUUGAUUUUUUUCUAGAACAAUUUUAAAAAAUUAGUUAACUUUGAUGAAAAGUAAAUAUAGUCUCAUGUUUUUCUAAAAUACUCUUACAUUAAUAUUUGAAGUGUCACUAAUCACUAUACCUUUACAUUAAUUAUAAUACUGUCUGUUCUACUUUGACUUGAUUUUUUUCUAGAACAAUUUUAAAAAAUUAGUUAACUUUGAUGAAAAGUAAAUAUAGUCUAAUGUUUUUCUAAAAUACCCUUACAUUAAUAUUUAAAGUGUCACUAAUCACUAUACCUUUACAUUAAUUAUAAUACCAUUCAAGACAUAUAUCAAAAUAAUUAUUGGUGAAAAAGUUGACUGUAUUAAAUAAAGUAAGUUAUAUUUACUACUUUAAUUGUAAGGGAAUAUUGUAUUAAAUAAGGGAAUGAAAUUUUUCGUAGAUAAAAAGAGGAGUGAAAGAGCUUUGGAAGUGGGCGACAUGGUUUAUUUGAAGCUUCAACCUUACCACCAACAAUCUGUGGAAGUUAGGCAUUCCUUGAAGCUUGCCUCUAAGUAUUAUGGUCCUUUUCCUGUCCUUGCUCGUGUGGGAGAAGUAGCUUACAGAUUGGGGUUACCUCAGGUUCCAUAAUCCACCCUGUGUUCCACAUUUCUAUGUUGAAUAAGCAGUUGGGAGGUUCUCAAGUAGUCAUGCCUGCAUUGCCAUUAGUGGGUCCCGAUGAUCAGAUUCAGGUUGCUCCUGAAAUGGUAUUCAAGAGGAGGGCCAUACUGCGAAACCAUCAACCAGUAUCACAAGUCUUGAUCAAAUGGAUUAAUCUAGGAUUCGAAUAAGCCACUUGGGAGGACCUUGAUUUCAUUAAACAACAGUUUCCAAACUUCCAUCCUUGAGGACAAGGAUGCUCUGAAGUUGAGGGUAUUGUCAGGAAUCAUAAGUUAAGCGACGUAGUUUUGGAACAUUACGGCAUCGUUUUGGAGAUUGCUAGGGGAAAUAAGUAGUGCGACGUAGUUUGGGCUGUGAGUUCAGAUUCUUGCGUGAAACGGUGCCGUUGCACUGAAAGUUAGUUAGGAAAUCUGUUAUGAUUGUUUCAAUUAGUUACAAGUCGGUUAGCACUGAUGUAGUGUAAAUAAUGCUGUAAAUAAUAAAAGGAGUGUAGUAGGCGGCAGUCAAAUUCAUAAUCGAAAUUUUCAAAUGAAAAUAUCUUCUCAUUCUUCUCAAUUCUCUCUUAGCUCAUGAACACCCUUCCCUCAUUUUCGUCUUCUGCAAUUUAUCAGGUUAAAUCCUGACAAAUACCACAACCUUGUCAGAGUUGCAAGUGUCCAAUAUUUUUUUUUUGACAAUAUUCUAAAUAAUUAGCCAGGCUGACAUGACAAAGUGAAAUUUUUUUUUUAAAAGGGUAGGAAAUGGACUUCGUCAUACAGCUAGGGCUGCAAACGAAUCGAGCCACUCGCGAGCGGCUCGAGUCGAGCUCGAGUCAAACUCGAGCUCAGAAUAUUAAGCUCGUUAGCUCGUGAGCCGGCUCGCGAGAUUGAGUAUAUAUAUAUAUAUAUUUUUUUUUUAUUUUUAUUUUUAUUUAAUAAUAAAAUUACGUAUAUUAUAUAUAAAUUUUUUUUAUUUUUUAUUUUCAUAGUAAAAUUACGUAUAUAUCCUUAAUAUUUUAUUAUUUAUUAAGAAAAAAAUAUUAUUUUAUUUUUUUAAAAUAAAAUAAAAUAAUUUUUUUUUCGAGCUCGAGCUCGGCUCGACUUGAUUCGAGUCGAGCUCGAUCUUGAAAAUUGCCAGCUCGUCGAGGUUGAACUUGGUAAAAUUUAGUCGAGACUCGGCUCGAUUAGUUCAAAAUUCGACUCGACUCGGCUCGUUUGCAGCCCUAUACAGCCAAUUAAGUCAUCUCAUCAGAAAUAUUUGAAGAUCAAGUGUAUAAUUUUAAAGCAAUCCUUAUUAUUAGUUGGGAAGGUUAUGACACUUUUGACCGUAUUCGCAUACUUGACAAAUGUGGGAAGCUCGUUGCAAUUGAUGGAUAAAAUUUCGAUAAUCUCUCAUUACCUAUAUACAUUUUAGUAUAUAUUGUUGCUUGUUUUCUGAUCGGGAUAAUUUUAGAAAUCACGCAUGAGGUUUCUGACAAUUUUACUAACCUCUCCUGAGAUUUGAUAAAUUAUACUAACCGCCUUUGAUAGAAUAAGGGCUCAUUUGCUUACUGAUGAACCCCAACACAUUAUCUGAAAUUAGAAACUAAAACAUAAGAAUUAAGUAAUUAUGGCAAAAAUCAAUUAUUUAACAACAUUAUCUGUUAACGGCAUGAACAAUAACGUGGAAAACACAAAAUUGCGCCAUUUUGUGAUUAACAAAAGUUGACAUGACCAUAUUUCAAUCGUAUAUCAAAAACGCUGGGGUAGAACAAAGGAAACACUGAGGAAAGAAAUAAAAAAAAAUAAGUUUGUUCUUGAGGAUUUUUUCUCUUGGUUUAGAAACUAAAUAGAUGAUUUUUUUUGUACCAAAGUAAUUUUGUGGAAGUGACUGAGAGAGAAGGUAGAAGAGAGGCAAAAUUGGAAGUUUUUUUUAUGCAAAAUCACAAAAAACAUAUCUUAAGGCAGGUAAACAAUCUCUACUAUUAUCAAUUUAAUAUUUAAAAAUUAUAAUCUUAUUUGAAAUUAAUGAAAUUUUCCUAGAAAAUUAUAAUUGCAAUACAUCUUCACUGAUAGUUAUUUUUGCUAAUACACAUUGACAGGAAUGCAAAAGAAGCAUUUGUGGAAAAAAAAUUUCAUCUCUCUCUUGAAAGUAUUUUUUUAAUCAUACUCUUUUUUAGAGAUGAACUACUUUUGUCACAUAAUCAUAAAUCUCAAGGGAAGUGCCCCCGUUUGGAUUGCAUUUUUCUGAAUUUUUUGUAGAAAAAUUACUGUAGCGAUUUGAUAUAUGCGAGAUAAAAAAACGAUAGAGAAAUGUGUUCACGAAAAACGUAACAAUUUUUCUGAGAAAAAUCGCAAUCCAAAUGGGGUAGUAUAAUUUUCUAAAACUUAUGAAAGAUUAGUGAAAUUGUCAAAAACCUCAAGAAAGGUUUUUGAAAUCAUCCCUUUCUGGUAUGGAAAGAUGAGACACUUCCGUUAUGAAAGCAAUAACGCAUUCGCAAGUACGUUUGAUGAAAGUUCGCAGAUUUAAUCAUGGAAUGUAGACAAGAUUAAUGGCGAUGAACAAGAUUUGUCAUUGCUAGGUGAUUUAAUUCAUGUCAUAAGAUCAAUGUUGGCUGUAUUUGAUUUUGUCAAAGUUAGUUAUGUAAUGAGGACCAACAAUGUUCCUGCCCACAUCACGUCAAAAAUAUCGAUGCCUCUUGGGGGAGUAGAGUAUGGUUUGUGAAUUUCCCCAAGAUGGUUUGUUUGGAUUGGUCUUUAUUUCUCCAAAUAUAUCUGCUUACGUCAUCAUUACAAUUUCCAACACACCUUUUUACCUUCUCAAUUACUUUUUUAUCUCACAUACAUCACAUCACAAAAAGUGUUACAGUAAAAAUAUCUCAAAUAACUUACAAUCCAAACAAACCGAAUAUUGUUACUGACGCUGCUCUUGAAGAUUUGAAAUGAAUGAAUGAUUUCUUUUUAUGCUUCAAAAAAAAUCAUGGAAUGUAGACAAAGUUGGUUGCCACAUGGCAGUUUUUUCCCCGAUUUACAGUUUUUUUUUUCUUUUUCUGGAUUCUUCAAAAAAUUGAUUAUUAUCAUCUGAAUCGUGGAAAGUAAGGGUGAGAUCUAAAUUCUAAUCCUCCGAAUCUAGUGAACUAUUUUUAAUUUUGUCAUCUGGAUCAUCCUUGUGGAAAUUUUUCUCUUUUCGGAAGCUGCCUGAGAAGUUUCGUUAUCCGGUCUAUUCGAUUGAUGUCACAUUUGUACCGACCUCAAAUCUCAUCCGUGGGCAGUGGGCCAAUCUUUAUUCGACAGUAACGAACUUUUCUUUCACGCUACGUCACAAAUAACUGAGUGCAACGGUAUUUUAUUUUUAUGGGCUAGUCUGAAUGGGCCAAAAUUCGCAGAGGGGCACCAGAUGCUAGGAAGAAGGCGAUGGAUGAAAUAUGUGGUUCAGCUGGUAUUUACGUCUCCUCUUCCAUUUUGAGAAUACUUUCCUACGAAACUUCUCAUUUUUGGAUUGCUAUUUUUUAAAUAUUUUUGUAAAAAAAAAUUAUUGUACUGACUUAAUAUAUGUGAAAUAAAUAUACAUUCACGGAAAAUGUAAGAACUUAUUGAUAGAAAACUACAAUUCAAACACAUUUUUUGCUGAAAACUUCAGUACUUAAAGCAAUUGCUUCAGCUAAGUGAGUUUUUUUUUUUUUUUUAAAUUAUAUAUACUGCAGAAAGCUAAUUAGCAGGGAGAAUUGAAUAUUUGACAACAUCUCUCACCAACAAAUUCAGACGGCUUUUUUUUUAAAAAAAAUCGAUGAAUAAUGAUCCCUAUCACAUAUAAUUAUGUGAUGCAUCAAAUAUGUUGUCCAGUCAAGGAGGUGAUCCUUCUUUGAAUAGCUAGAAAGACAAGUGAACUAUUGAGACAACUAAAGCAUCGGAGACCCUCGGAUAGUAUAAUAGCUACUUUGAUUGAUGACAUUUCUGGCAUGCAGAAGUUGUUUCGCAUGUGUUCUUUUUGCUUGGUUAAGGAAAAAAGUAUGAAAAGUAAUAAAAGACUUAGCUCUUAUGUCUUAGGCAUUCUUUUGGAUGAGUAAUGGAAUUUUCCUCGGUGUCAUUAAGCACUAAAUGUACAGUUUUUUGAGCCAUUGCUCGCACAUAUAAGCUCCUUUUACACUGAAUGAAAUUAUCCUAACUUUUCGGCCCAAAAAAAAAAAAGAAAAAAAGAAAGACAAGUGACCAUUAUAUAGUGUUUCACCAUUCGCCAUACAAAUUCGAAGAAUUUAAUUUUGACGGUAUUGGUUGUGCAUAAAGAUGUAUUGUAUAACAUGCACCAAAAUUCACACUAUAUCAGAAGUCGUCCGUUGCAGUCUCAACAUAUGUGGUACAAGAUCAACUUUGGAACAGAGGCCAGUGAUCUGCCAACAAAGAAACGUCUACUUGAGAAGACAGAAUAAUAGCACGAUCAUGCUAAGCGCCAAAAAAUCCGUUGAAUACGGAAAAUUAAGCGGAUGGAGGAACAGGAAAUAAAGCGACCCUCCGAUUCCAAAUUCAUACUCAUCAGAUUGGCACAAGAAUUGACUUCCCGCCAUUACUGAAACACCGCGCAUUGCCGCCCUAAGGUUCCCUAAUUCAUAUGUUUUUGACAAGUUGAAUGCCAAAUUGAGAAUUCGAAGACCCUGGCAGAGUACAUAGACUCGAUCAAUUGCUUUCAUGGGCACAAGUGGAAAGCUAGGUUGGAUUAAAUUUCCCAAUCCUGCACAAGGGAAAAAGUACUCCCAAGAAGAAAAGACAGAAAUCUAGCAGGCCGUGUGAAUAGGCCCAACCCUAUCUAAUUUGUUCAAUAGGGCUCUCAAUGCACGAUAAAAUGGCCCCAUUCUUCACUCUACAUGGGACGCCGGCAGAACAAAUGGAUUGUUCAUGGCCCUGAUCAGCAACAACGAAAUCCAUGUAAUUUUGUUUCUUGUCCCAGUGUCAUAAAAAAAAUAGGCCGGCCCAAAAUGGGGUAUUUUACGUUUAUUCCAUAGACCAAACUCCAAAGAAUCACAGAGGACAGCAGCUAUUACUAUUAGGGAGGGUAACAGAUUGGGAAAUCCGACGAGCCGCAUCGCAUCUUCGUCAGGAUGAUGAUGAUCUCCGUUCUUUAUCCUUUUCUUACAGUACACUUCUGUUGAAUGAGGAGUGAGAUUACUCUUGAAUGUGGACCAAUUCUUCUUCUUAUCUCUCAUGAGCUGAGAGCUGAGGUGCAACGUUGCUUGCUUUGUUUGUUUCAUUUCCCGAUAAUCAGAAUUAGUGCUUUUUUCUUUGACCGGUUCUUCAGCGGCGGAGUUGUGUUUACUGUUUACCAGAUUUCUUCCGACUUAAAUUUUGAUUAUCGCCAAACUCUACAGUUGAAUGCUUGAUCCUAAGCCAUGGCAAAUGAUUCUUCUUAGUUCUUUCUCCAGGGGUGACUUGAAAAGCGAAAAGGCAUAACUUUUCUCACGGGCCUGAAGAAAUCGGAAUUCCCAAGACGAGGAUGAAAUGAAAGAUUGUAGCAAGGGUUUGCAAAGGAUUAAAAUAAGAAUGAUCUGGGUUGAACAUCCCCUAAUUCCAGCCAAUGACCAGCCCGUCAAUGCGACGCAGGAAAAGUCAAAAGGUUGAACAAUUACCACCAUUGUGGUACCAACAAAUGAUGUUGCAAAAUGAUUUCUGCGGGUAUUUUGCAUCAAAUCAAAACUAUAUAAGAUUGACACUCGAAUUAUCAAGCAAUUAACUAUUUUGCAUAAACGCAUCUUCAACAUACUGCUGCUCAAAGCAAAUAAUACAGAGACCACCAGCCCAAAAAAAGCUCCAUGCAUACAUAUGUCAAGGAAGGAAGAUGUACCAACAAUUGAUUGCAUGAAAAACCCACAUGGCCAUUAGAAUCGCAUCACUCAGCAAUACUAAGAUCAGUCCAUUUAACCAGUCAGCCCUCAAAAAACCUUUAAAACCUACUGCCCAAAAUUUAUUCCACCCCACUCAUUAGACCAUGCUACUAUAAACAGACAAAUCACUACCGAGUCAAACUCAAGGCAACGCGGGUUCACUGAACAUUAACAUGGAAAACAUCACUCCUCUCCUCCUCCUUGACUCUUGGAAUGAAAACCUUGAGGACCCCAUUUUUCAUCUCAGCUUUGAUGCCAUCAGUCUUGUAGGUCUUCUCAGGAAGAUCGAGUCUGCUCGAGAAUCUCCUUCCCAGUUCAGCAUCCUCAGAUUCCUUCUGCCCUUCGCCUUUGAUGAUCAGGGUGUUCUGCUCCACCGAAACUUUGACGUCCUCCUUCCCCAACCCUGGCAUGUCCAACGACAGGUUCAGCCCUUCGGCAGUCUCCUUAAUGUCCCACCCACGACGGACUCCAGAUGCAAAAGUUGGCUCACUGAAUUGGUUCACCAGGUCCAAAAGUUGGCUCACGCUCCUCGUCGAAAAUGGAUCAAAAACUCCUGCACAGCCACCAGACAGAAAAGGGGAAAAAAAAAAAAAAAGAGGUUGAAAUGGCUGAUAGGAAAAAUAGGGCGGGGGAUUCAAAGCACAUAAGCGUACUCCCAAGAGAGAAACAGAAAAAAAAAUGCGGGAAAUUCAUUUGGUACCAAAGUACGGGGAGUAAUCGCGGCGAUUGUAGAGAGGACGAUUGGAGCGGCGAUCGACGUCGAGACCGCGUUCGUCAUCGUCGUCAUCGUAAUCGCGAGCGACGUUGGUGUUGAACAGACGCGAUGACGCAGCAGACGCAGCCGGGCGGAGGGAAUUGACAGAGCGGCUGAGAAGGGUCGAUGAGACCAGCCUUUUCAAAGCUAGGGAUGCAGCCAUCUAACCAGCUGAUUCUUGUCGUCGAUCGAGAAGAGGGCCAGAAAAAGGAAUCGAUUCACAGGAGAGUUUCUUGAGGGUUUUUUCUUAGGCACUAUCGAGUGUGCUUCACGCUAUCGGAAAGGUGAACUGUGUGGUAAAUAUAUGACAGCUGACUGAGUUCGGAGAAUUUACUAGAUGAAUCUAGAGGCUCCUGGAACCAUACACACAGAGUCGCCUUCCGGCGACUAAACUAGCAGGGCUUGGCGGCUUGGCCCAAUACGGCAUUGCUUACUAAGCAUGGAAGGGGCUUGUAUUGGGUUGGACUGGUGGCUCGCUAUAAUACUUCUGGAGCCCAUCUGAAAUGCGUAGGUAAAAUAAGGUAGGGAAAUUUUAUUGAACAUCCGUUAUCCAAAUCGUUUUAUUCAUUUAUUUUUUUUGCCAAAGUUUCCUGUUUACGGCCAACGCUUUUAAAAUGCGUUAUUACUAGGGCUCGUAUAUUGAACAAACUGCUCGAUGCUCAUUACACGUAAUUUGUUUAUUUAAAAUGUGUUAAAAAUGAAUCAAACUACUAAAUAUUCAAAUUGAGAUUGGCUUGGUAAAAGCAUAGUUAUUAAAUCAUGUCUGAAAAGCAACUCGGCAAAUGAGGUGAGUUGACGAAUCACUGGUUCAACCAAUAGGUGAGUGGUUGAAUCAGUGAGUCGCUGAAUAGAUUUAAAUAUUAUGUUUUAUAAUUUUUUAUAUAAAGUAUAUGGUAUAAAUUAUAAUAAACAAUGUUAUAGCAAAUGCUCAUUGAAUUUAAUUCGCUAUAGAAUAAUUAAUUCAUAUAAGAAUCAGCAUAUCAUAAAUUUAUUUAGUAAUCCACCAAAUUUCAAGUAUAAAAUUUUAUAUAUGUUUAAUGUAAUUAUCUAGCUUAUUUACGAAUUUUAAGUACAAAAAAAUUAUUAAAAAUAAUAUUUUAUCUUUAAAAUGAAUUAUGUAAUAUGUUAUUUUUGAAAUCCAUUUUAUGACUUAUAGAGUUUGGGGGUCAUAAGUUUUUAUAAAUAUUUCAAAUAAAUUUGUUUUAAAGAAAUACAAAAAGAAUAAAGAUAGAAUUAACAAAAAGAUCAUAAAUUAUAUAAAAAAAGUUACUCAACUAAUAUAUGACAAGUAGUAUGGUGGUGAGUAUAGGCCUGUCAACGGGCGGGGUUCGGACUGAAAUUCAUUAUUCCGGGCCCCGGACUCGGCAUAUCAUAUCGGAUUCGAAUUCGACCCGUUUACCCGAUGGGGUCUUCUACUCUAUGUUCCGGAUCCGGAUCCGACGGGUCUACUCGAAAAAAUAUUAAAACUUACAAUUUCUAAUAAAAAUGAGAAAAAAAUAUAUUUGUAAACUAAUUUCUAACUAAUACAAAAAAAACCAAAUAAGAAAAGAAAUCAAAUUGAAUUUACUCAAAUACAGCACCCCUAAUCUAAUUAUAUUGAUAAAUAUAUAUUUCAAAUUAUUAAUCCAUUUAUAUCCGGAUCCGAGUUCAAUACGGGUCGGAAUACGAUAUUCCGUAUCCGACCCGUUUUUUGUUUGACAAAAACGAAUCCGGAACCGGAUCCGAGUAACAUAAUUAAAUCCCUAUCCAUACCCGCAAAAAAAUCACAGAUCCGGUCCGAGUUCGGGUCUAGACCCGAACCGUUAACAGGCCUAGGUGAGUAUACUAUAGAUACAUGUCUAAAGUCCCAAGUUUGAAUUUUAGCAACAACUUACUAAAAUUUUUUCUGCAAAACCAGUUUGCUAACAAAACUGGCUGGGUUCUCAGAUUAAUCCGGUUGAACUAUCGGGUCGUUGACUAGUUAAAGGAUUACAUGUUUAAACGAUACAAUUAAAAACCCAAUCCAAUCCAGUGGUUGGUUUAUCGGAUUGACCGGUUUGAUCAUUGGAUCGGGGCGAGUUUAAUAAUUAUGGGUAAAAGCUCAUUAAAUCUUGAUUCACUAAUUAGGCAAGUCAAAUUUAAACAAUAUUUUAUAUUCGAUAACAUUCAAAUUCGAUAAAAAAAUUCGUUCAAUCUCGGUUUAAUAAACAAAUAAGCCAAAUUUAAAUAAAAUUUCAAACUUGUUAAAAAUAAUCAAACAAUUUUCAUAACAAUCAAAGUUGAAUUGUGACCUUAUUAGUGAAGCAAAUUCAAUGAAACUAGAGUGUUUUGAUUGAUUGGACUCAUUUAUAUCCUUAGUUAUUAGAAGCCCCAUAAGUCAAAAUUGACAAACAAAUCAAAUGAUUGAUAUAUAUAUAUAUAUAUAUAUAGUCAAAAAAUUGCACAAAUUGUCCAUUACAUAUCAUUAAAGUAAAAGUUUAGUCUCUCAAAAUGAAGAUAAGUGGUUUUAAUUCUAGCAUCUAAAAAGUGGUCAAUUUUUGUCCUCUGACGACUUUUCCAGCCAAAUUUAACCAGAAUGUGUCGAGAACUCCUCACGUGCUUUAUAUUUAAAUGGUAAAUUUGGUAAAUUUAUUAUUACGCUGACCCAAAUAUAAAGGACCUAUUGCUUCCAUAUUUGUUUUAUUAUUAUUUGUUUUAGGCCUUUUUCAAGAUACACAAAAGCCAAAUAUCUUGUUACAUCCUUCAAUUAUUGAUAAGCAUGUGGUAGAAUGUUCCAAAUUUUGUCCUCGAAAUCAUAUAUAAUUCUAAAACAAAUGCAGUAUUUAGACAUGAUGAAGCAUGCAUAAACCAAUUUCUAUUUUGAAAUACGUUUAGAAAUCUGGGAUUCUAAAACAUACAAAAGGUACAUCCAACUUCCAAAUACAUUGUGUAUUAAGUUGAGAUAACUGUCUUCUAAUUGUCGCAAUUUUUUUAACAAAAAGAUCCUUAAAAUUUGCCUUGAUUUUCGCUUUCUUUCUCUUUUCACUUCAUGAAUGCUUAGAUGAAGUGAGUUCAACUAAAACUAACAAAACUUAUUCUCUUAGGGAGUCUUGUAUGAAAGUUUCUUUCCCCUCCAUUUUUCUUACUUCUACGUCUCUUCCGCGUAGAUAAUAUAUGAGUUGGAUUGUUUUCUCAAGCGCUGUCAAUCACAAAAUAGCGCUAUGUUGUAGCAUCAAUUGGUGUCAUUUUGUAAGUGCACUUAUAGUGCCUAAUUAGGUAAGAAAUAACUCUUAAUCUUGUUUAAUUAGUUAUUCUGAACUUAUUUAUUACCCUAAUUUUUUUGGCCCAAAUUUCGUUAUUAACAACCUUAACCUCAUACGGUAUAGAAAUAAAUUCACCCUAUCUUAUGUCAGUUAUAGGUCCCAAAUUCACAUUAGGAGAGGUGAGUGCUAUAUUUGAAAUCUCAGGAGAGGUUUUCUGCAAUUAUCCCUAUCAAAAUUGAGUUCAAGUCGAGGUGUGGCUCAAAAUUGACAGUCAAUGAGCCCCAUACAUACAAUUGAAAAGAGGCAAUAUCGCAUUCUGCCACUUCCCAUUGAAUCGACUACACUAAAUGACCGUCCAAAGUCGCUGUUUUGUAAGUUGUAACUAAGGAACUGUAGGAUAUAUUAAUCGACCCACAAAUAUAGCCACAAAACGUAAAGCAGCAGUGCGGAACGAAGACACGCAGGAGGCAAUUCGCUUGAUACCACAAUCUCGCUACAAUUGAGAAGCGGGCUAGUAUCACAUAGUAGUGUUUUAUAGGCUAUAGUCAAUUUCCUAAUAUCUAUGCACUCUGGUUUUUGAACCGACUAAGGAAACCACGACACAAUUGGACUCUGGAUCAACAACACCACGCAAAACGCUUUAAGGAAACAUCAAACAAUUAGGAAAGCCAUCGAAACAGACUUGGACAAGGACACGGCCAACAAUUACUAUAAAGUGAACGAACGCCCCCAUCAAUGGUAAAAAUUCCAGUGCCAGAAGUUUGAUCUCUGUUUUCUGCAGUUCCAGCAGCAGGGCAGGCAAAAGAAGAAUGGCGGGAGUUGGUUCUAAAGCAAUGAAAAGAAUUAGGAACAGAGGAAACAGAAUGCUGGUGAACUCGCCUAUGAUUUCCCUCCCUCCUGAGCUUGUUACUGAGGUUCUUGCGCGCGUUGCUUCUUCUUCAGCAACUGAUCUAUUUACAGCCAAAUUAAGGCACGUACAAAUAGAAAUUUUCCAAUUCAAGGAUUUAGCAAUUUUCUUUCUUUCUUUUUUGUGAUGUUGAAGAUAUAUAUAUAUAUAUAUAUAUAUAUAUUUAUUGUUUUCAGCUGCAAGGGGUUUUCUCAAAUUGCUGAGGAAAGCUACGUAUAUAAACGGGUCUCACUCGACAAGUUCCCCGUUGUGGCAUGGCACCACCGUCGCCAAAUUGCGGCGUUCUUCAACAAGUGUAAAUGCAGUAAGAAUCCCGAGGCCUUGUAUAGACAAGGAGUGGUAUGCAAUAUAUAUUAAUCUUUUCGAGUCCUUUGAUGCUUCAAGUUUCCCUCAGAAACAGGAUAACUUUCAUGUAGUUGAUGCGCUCAAAUCCCAAACACUCCAGAUAAAAUCUACGCUGUUAUGGUCACAUAACGUGCUGGUUAAUGUCUGAUCUCUUCACGCUUCAACACUCAAAGAGAUUUGAACUUAUUAGUGCCGGAUCACUUAAAAUUUCCUCCGAUUUUAUCACUUUUUAAGACGCUACGCAAGUUUAGAGUACGUUAGAUAGUCUUGCCAAAUCUUGCGAAUAAAUAAAAUAGAUAGCCAUAAAAGAAGGAAUAGAAAAGUUGGGCCUUGUUUGGAAAUGAAUUUUCUACCAAAAAAAUCUUUAUGCUUUUUCGUGAACGGGUUUUUCAAUCACUUUUUUACCUCGUACAUAUCAAAUUGUUACUGUAUAUUUUUCUACGACAACUUCAGAAAAUUGCAAUCCAAACACUGACUCUUUCGGGUGUUGCAUCUCAUUGCAACACGAUUUCCUUUUUUGUUUUUGGUUUCACGAUGACCACAAAUUAGUUUAAAGAUGGUCCCUUAUACAGCCAAGUUCUGGUAAUUAGCCAGAUUACUCACGAUUUAAAUUCGAUCCAAUUGCUUAGGUUGAUUUUUUCGGGGGCGAGGAACCAAACUCUGCAAUCGAAUGCUUGAAAGAAGCUAUGGAGUCGGGACACGAGGCGGCUUCCUACGCCAUGGCAAUUAUUCUCAUCUUUUUUGGUGGUGACAUGAAGCAAAAAGGCAUAACUUAUCUCAGGGGAAUGAAGAAAUCAAGAAUUCUCGAAGGAAGGAUCGGCUAUUGUCGGGAGAGUUUGCGUAGGAUUAUAAGGAGGAUUUGGGUUAAAAAUCCGCUCGUUUUGAAUGAGAGACCAAAAUGCUGUACCAUGCAACACAAGAAAGCUAAAGGCUGGACCAGGUAUCAAUUUGACAGAGACGACAACACCUGCGAGGCCUGCAAAUGUGAUGAAGAAAUUGCUUACAUCUGUGAUGCGCUCCCUCAAAUCAACAUCUGACUUCAACUUGUUAUGUAUAGAAUUGCUUUGGACCGACGAUUAAAAAAACAUGUUUAUACCAUCUUCUUCCUCAAAAUGCAUCUUCAGCGACCCUACUAUCUGUUUUCCAUCAUCAUCAUUACAUAAAUUACUGAUAAAUAACCAUCGACCGAGAAGAGGUAAAUUAGUAUGAGAAAUUAUGCAGCUUCAGCAAAAUUGGCAGCACGAAAAAGUUACUGACAAAGCAAUAUUCAUUUGAAGGAUAAACCUUGGCAAUUGCGAGAGAAAACACCCAAAAAUUUAUUACAAGACCGCACCCGGACAGAAAACUGGAGGGAAACCUGAAAGGCAAUCAUUUGUGCAGUUUUCUUCGGAAGAAGACGGUUCCCGAAACAUCCAUCAAUAAAUGACGAACUCCAGCAUACACGUGAUAGAAAAGGGCCAAGGCAGCAAUCUC
rnacentral:lncRNA from 1 species